rnacentral:lncRNA from 1 species
CUGAGAGUCAGCAGGAUGCUCCACUCUUCAGCCCGUCAUCCUUCACACCUCUCUCCACUCUUCAUCACUUUCUUCCUCUUUCAACCCUCCAAUAUGCUUUUUAGUGGAAGUCAAACUAAACUUCAGCCAACAGCCAGCCAACAGGUGUGUACUGAUCUGUUUCUCUGCAGCAAACUUGUCGUCUCUGAGGAUUUGGAGUUCAUGCACCAACCAAAGAGUGUACACAGUUUCUACUUUUCUUUCUUGCACUAAAUUUCUGCGAACAGAGAAGGAUUAGAGGUGUGUUUUUGGAGGUAAUGGAGCGUCACCGUAUCCCUUCUCUAGGAGAUGAGGACUCUUGGAGCUUAACUUCAGCCUGUGGAGUAAUUUGUGUGCACUUUUUGACACUUUAUGGCAAACACUGUGGAUAUCUGAGGAUCGAUUUUCAGCAAAUUUUCAUCGCAGGGAAUGAGCUGAGAGAUUUUUUUUGUGAUUCCUGGAGCUCCAUUCAUGUUCUUCUCCUCCUUUUCUUGUGUGACAAAACCACAGCUGCACCUUGGACCAAACUUUCCGGAUGUGUCAGUCUGAGUGAUGUGGAUAUUAAUGAAAAUAUCGGAUUGACCUGACAUGAUGUAAGUUCAGCAUUUUUCAUAAUCGAUACUAAAUACAUCACUGGAUUUCUGCAGUUUCUGCUUUUCUGCAAAAAUUAAAUAAAUAAAUAAAUAAAGACACUAAAUCAUCAGCUGUGAGCCGCAUGAUGAAGAAAGAAGUUGGAAGUUUGUAAUAUGAACAAUUUUCAUGAUGCAAAAACCUUUAUUUCUAUAUGUAGAAAUAUAGGUUUUUAUACCAUCAUGGGAAACUAAAACUCCUCAUUCUAGCAGCUUUGACUUGUAUGUUUCCAGUCUUUUUAAAAAGCCAGAUUCAGCUCAUUGUAGCAGUUGAUUUUGUGAGUUGUUAGAGAGAUCGAAGGGAGAGUUUUCUAAAAUCAGUUUGGAGUAUGGAGUUCAGGUUUUUGGGUUUUAAUGAAAAUAAUAGAUGAUGAAUUCCUGUAGAAGUGAGUCCACAUCAGCCUGUGCAGACUGUCAGGCUUUAUUUUUGACCUCACCAACCUCUCUGAAGGCUUUUUAUGUUGCUGACAUUCAGUAAGUGAUCACUGAGUAUUUGCUGCUGUCAUAGAACAUAAAAUUGUGCAUAAGGAGAUGAUAUUGGUCACAUUUUACAGUUUAAAAGAGUGUGACUGAUAGUGGUUCAGUACCUGCUGUGUUGUAUGAAGACUUUUCUGCAAACAGAAAUGUGUGCAGACAUUUGGGUAUGUUUGGGUGCUUUUCAUUCCUGUGUCAUGUGAUGCUAUGUUUGUGUUAGAAGGCGUCUGAGAUACACAGCUGUGAUGGUGGAGAGGUUUUCUCUGCUGCCCUAUAUAGGGGUGGGCAGUUUUUGGUUUUGCUUUAAGAGGUGCUUUUGUUUUGUCUGAUGUAAAAAGUUUUGUUGUUGCCCGCCUUACCCCCACAUCUUCUGCACAGUUUUAAAUCGCUGUAAUAUCUCCAAACUGCUGAAGUUGAAUCGUGGUUCUUGUCAUUGGUGCUUUGAGCUGGUCAUCUCUGUGUUUUCUUAUUUUUCUUCUGUUUUAAAUGUCCUUUGGUCUGUUUAUCAUUGUCCUCUCAGUAUUAUUGGCUGUAUGUCUUCCUCCUCUUCUUUUAUAUGCCAGGUACUAACAUGUGUUUAAGGUGCAUUAGUGCCCCCUUUAUAGUGUAACUGCAGGUUUAUAUCUUUUGGCCUUUUAGUGAAGACUGGUUGUUAGUCUAUAAAGAAACUUUAAACCAUGAUAAUUACCUCCGCCAAGGAGGUUAUGUUUUCAGUAGCGUUGUUUUGUUGGUUUGUCUGUUAGCAACUUUGCGGAGAAAGAAACUGACGGAUUGACCUGAAAUUUUCACCAGAGGUGCGUCUCAGCCCCAGGAGGAUCCCAUUACAUUUUGGUGGUGAUCCAGACAAAAUUCUGGAUACUGUGAUCCAGAACACACAAAAAUAAGGGUGUCGUUGGAAUUUUCAAUGCUGAAUGAUAACCAACGGGCGGCACAGUGGUGUAGUGGUUAGCACUGUCGCCUCACAACCAGAAGGUCCUGGGUUUGAAUCCGGGUCAGGGCAUUUCUUGUUUUAGGAACAUUAUGAACAGUGAACAUACCAGUUUAAACACAAAUAAAAGUUAAUAAAAGACACGUAACAGUAAAAGUUUUGGUGUGAAUCACAAUAUAAGGGGGGACAUGAGCUGCUUGGCGGAGUGCUGCGCUCUCCGAGUGCUUUUCUAGUUAUCAUAGUAAUCGUUUUCACCCUCAGCUGGAGUCUCACCCUCGAGUAAUGUAACUUCUUGAAAAAAACGCCCCUUUGGUUUCUGAUGAUCAAACAUUCAGCGCUUGCUCUUUAAAAGAAAGUAGGAGCUGCAAUAACUUCACAAUGAAAUAAAAAUUUCAACUUUCAUCCUGUAAAGUUGUUAUUUGGACGUCAUAAAUUCAGAACUUUUAUCUUUAAAAAUGAAUGACCUCAUUCUCUAUAAAAAUAUAUUCAAUCUCAUACAUAAUAAAUGUAAGACUUUAAUCUCCUUAUUUUAUAGCUUUAACCUGAAAUAUAUAACUCUUAUCUUAUUAGAGCUGUCAUUAAUUAAUGACUUUAAUGUCAUAAAUGCAGAGCUUUCAUCUCCUAAUAUUCAACCUUUAGUCAUGUUAUUUCUUUUUCUUCAAAACUUCAAAACUUUAAUCCUGUAAAAAUUUGGACUCAAACCUUGUAAAUCAGUGACUUUAAUUUCUUAUAUUUAAAGACUUUUGCUCCUAAAUUUGUGAGUUUAAUGUCUUUGAUUUAGGACUUCAGCCUCAUAAAUUUAUACUGUAACCUCAUAAAUUUGAGUUUUAUCUGUAAAGUUGUGUUUAUACCUUAAAUUUAUGACACAAAUGUAUUAACUUAGUCUCACAAAUUUAGGACUUCAUCAUUUUAAUUUACAACAUUCAUCUGGUUAAUUUAGGACUCAAAUCUCAUGCUGAAGUGUCUGCUGAAACCAGCUGAUAAAGUUUGGAGGUGAGAGGGAGGUUUUCAAAUAUUGGUACCUGAUACCUGAGCAGAACUGGAGGAAAGGUGUUUCUUUUCUGUCUAUUGUUUUGGAUGGAGAAACUCUACAGCAAGGACUUUACUUCGUUAAUGAGGACAAUGAAUAUGAACAGGGUUGAAUGUUAGUGCUGAUAUGUGAGGGCUUUACUACUUUCUGAAACUGUGCUUGUUUACAAUAUUCAGCCUUUCACUGGGACAGAAAAGCAAAGAUCAUGACACUCAGGCUUUACCAGGUAACAUCAAACUGAUACUCUAUCUUAACCACAGAGGAUGCUGGGAAAUGCAGUUUUGAUCCUGGGAGGACAUGACUGAUUUCAUCCAAAGGGGUGAACAGAAUCAACACAGCAUUAAAAACUCCUCCAUGAUUAAAUUCAAUGAAAUGAAAUAGGAGUUUUAAGCUUUACAGUUUAACUUUGGCUAGUAGAGGCACUCGCAUCACAGCUGGGUUGUUUGCAGUGGUCAGCUGUACAUGUAACUGCUCUAAAAUGUUUCCAGAAUUUGUAAAAACUAGUUUUUAGUUCAUACGGUUUUGUCUGGCUUUACUAGAUUUAGUUUAGAUUUGUUGUUGAAGGAUAAACAACAUGAACGUUUAACUUAAUGAGAUACAUUUCUUUGACUCGUGGUAAUACAGAGAAGAAAUGACAGUAUAUUGGGAUCUUCAUUUCAGUUAAUAGGGAGUCAGGACAAAGUUUGAUGAUGGACGGUGUUCAGGUUCAUCUACUAAUAAUCUUUGUCUGCGAUUUGUUUGACAUUUAACAAAUGGAUUGGUUUGUUAUAAACGCCAGAGAUGUAGUUAUGUUUCUGCAUGUUUACGGAUAAUUAUAACCAUGGACUUUCAUAUUAAAUUAAAAAAGGAGAUAGUAGAGCAAUACCUGCCAUAGCUGCACACAUAGACACAAAGUGAAAUUAAAUUAUCAGUGUUUUUGAUAUUAAACAUUUAAUAGUUAGAUAUUUUAUAGUUCUAUUUAAUACAUCUAUUAAAUAUAAAGGGGUAAGUUGACCCACAUGAUUAUUUAAACUUAAACUUAAAACUUAAACAAAUAAUGUAUAUAUACGGAUGAAAAAUAAUUUUAUAAGACAUUUCCCUUUUUCAAGUAGUCAAUUAUUUUCUUUGGGUUACUAAACAAUAUAAAACCAAUUAAAGUUUGUUUUUCAGAACCUUUUAAUAUUUGCAAUUAUUAAUAUAAUAUUGAAAACUUCUCUUGAAUGAGUGUAUUUAUCAAAAAUGAAAGAUCAUUCUGCUAAUUUGAGUAGCAAAGACCUAAUAAAAAUUAUACCAAGCAGAACCAAGUUGUCCAUAGUAUAUACAGUCUAUGUGUGCACACUUUAUUCAUUAGAGGUAGUGACUGUAAAAAGGUUAAAAUAAUAAUACUAAUAAUAUUAGUAUGAAGACCACCUCAUUGGAAGAAAAGACUUACAUUUUAGUCAUAAAUUUGAUAAGAAAAACGUCAUUAUUUAAGGGUGAGUGUAAAUUCUGUGUGUUAUUUUAGGGCACAGAUCAGAAGAGCCGCCAUGCAUCAAAACUAAAAUAAGAGACAGAUUAUCCAAUGAAGUUAUAAGAGUCAUAAAAACUUCACACUCAGUCUGAAAGCGUGUGAAGACGUCUGAAUUAGUAGUGUCAUAAAUAAAGUUCAUCCUGAAGAGGGUCAUUCUGUUCCAUCUGUUUAUUUUCAGCUGCUGAGUUGAACUUCACAAGAUGAUCCAGAUGAUGAAGAUGAUGAGGAUGAUGUUAUUAACAUGUAGAACCAUCUCCAGUGAGUAGGACAUCUUUUACAUGAUAAACCUUCAUUCUCUUUACUUUUAUUUCCAAAAUUUGUUUCUUAAAUAUUGUAAAAUCAAUCCUAACCUUUAAAUCUGUAGUAACACAAGUUUCUUCACGCACCUUUACAACUUUAGUCUCAUGAAAUUUGACCUAAUAGCCAAAGAUUUACAGCUUUAUGACCAAAAUGUUAAAAUUAAUGACUUUCAUAUUAUAAAUGUAAAACUAUUAAAAUCACAUUUUUCUCAUUUCGUUUUGAUUUUACCGCUCUCUUAUAUUUGCCGACUUUGUUCCUGCAAAUUUGACUUUAAUCUCGUCUCUAUAUCUCAUAAACUAGACUUUUUCUCUUGAUAAGUAAUGAUUUAAAUUUAGUCCUGUUAAUUUGUAAUGUAAUUUACAACUCUAAUCAUUUAUAUUUAUGGUUUUAGCAUCAUAUUUGAUCUUGGUAUUUGAAUAGUUAUAAUUUACAACCUUAUUUUUGUUACUUUAUAACUUUAUAGCUAAACAGUUUAACAAAUUUAUACACAUAAAUUUACAAUUUUACUUUAGCUUAAAUUUAGGGACUUAUUCCACCUUUUCUCAUCAGAUUCUUCAAACGUGUCUGUAUGGAUUCAUGACAUCUUUGUUGGGUCAGACUCUCUCUCUGCAGACUUUCACUUCCUGUUAGGUAUCACUGAGAGAAACUCAUCACUCUAUUUGUCACUAGAAAGAAAAUUGAGUUGCACAAAGAGCAACAUUUUCCUUCAAACUCCAGAAGCAGUUUGCCAUGUAUGAGCGCAGCAUUUUUUGUUCAUGUUUCUUUUUCAAUACGACACCCUAAACUUCCCUCAUCGCUUAUUUGAAACUGUCAGAUUUGGUUGCAGUUUUUCCCCAGAUGUAAUCUCAGAAGACUUCAUUGAAAGAAAUUAUGUUUAAUGUAGUUUGCUGAUGUUUGAAGCCUCAGAAGUCCAGUUUUCAGGGAUCCGUGAGAAGUUUAAAUCACAAUAACCCAGCUACAUAUGAAGAUCAGAAAAAAACAGGUUUAAUAUAUCAACCUACAUCUACAUGUUUUUGUUAAAAACUGAAGAAAAGUAGGUGCUGCAAGUCCUGAUAAAACCACUAGAUGACAGCAGAGCCAAACUAGAAAAUCACUCGGAGAGCGCAGACCUCCGCCAAGCAGCUCAUGUCCCCCUUAUAUUGUGAUUCACAGCAAAACUUUUACUGUUACGUAUCUUUUAUUAACUUUUAUUUGUGUUUAAACUGGUAUGUUCACUGUUCAUAAUGUUCCUAAAACAACAAAGCUCAUAUUAGAUACAUAAAUGCAUGAUUUAUUAUGCAAUAUUUGUAAGCGUACACUUCCUUGUAUCUUCAUUGGUUAUCUUUCAGCAUUGAAAAUUCCAAUGACACCCUUAUUUUUGUGUGUUCUGGAUCACAGUAUCCGGAAUUUUGUCUGGAUCAGGAUCAACCUUUGACACCUCAUAAAACUCAUUGAGAUCCUUUUGUGUCAUUUUUUACUAAAGACUCUGGACAUUUUUAUAGAGUUAAUGCAAAAAUUCCAAAAUUUGCCCUAUCUCACAAUGAUAAAGAAUCCUUCAAAAAAUUCCUGGAUCCAGAAGGCGAUCCGGAUCACCACCAAAAUGUAAUGGGAUCCUCCUGGGGCUGAGACGCAUCUCUGGUGAAAAUUUCAGGUCAAUCCGUCUGUAACUUUCUCCGUAAAGUUGCUAACAAACAAACAAACCAACGCUACCGAAAACAUAACCUCCAUAACAGAAGACUUUUCUUCACUUCUGAGAGAACUUCCAUCGUGUAUUUGUCUAAUUCUUGUGAAAAUAUCUCUUGACUCUUACACAUCUUUGAAAGUGGCGGCUAAUUCAAAGUUUCUUGACAUAAAUUUUGACAUCUUAAGUCACAAAUCAGAUACGAUUUGAAUUUGAAUUGAUUGAUAGUCUGAAAAAGUGACUGAAGAUACAAAAUCCCAUGCCUAAGGGUGCAAGACCAUUUUUAGAGUUGCCAAAUAUCAUGAUCUUUACAGUUUUACAUCAUGGCUAUUUAAAUGGGAAGACUUCAGACUUUGUUUUCUGCUACAAAAAUAAGCACAAAGUUAAUUUCUGGGAUGUUUCUCAGUGAGAAGGUGCAUUUACCUAAGGUGAUCAUUCAGUACGGUGGCCCCAGAGGUCAGUUGCAUAAAUAUUUCAACCAAAAAAAUUUUGAUGAACCACAAAAUUAUUUCCCAUCUUUUUGCAGCAUGACAUAAUAAUACAGUUGACCUCCAUGGCCACUGUAGUUCACGCCUCUGUGGUCGACUCCAAACCUGCUGAAAAAGAAAACUGUAAAACUGUUUCAUAUUAUUGCAAAUUGAGAAAGUGAUUCACAGUAAAAGAAAAACAGCUAUGGUCUUCUUUUCUUUAUUGUCCACUAGAGAGCGCUCUACAUCCACUCUAAAACACAGGGCGGCCUCUGAAACCUUGAAAAGUUCAGUUGCUCCUGUUGGUGAACAAACUGAGUUCAUCACCUGCAGAUUGAUGUUUUCACACCCCCACUGAGCAUGUGCAGAACUAUCUGAAGCUUUUGUAUUUAUCUGUAUUUGUAUUGGCGUUUGUGCGACAGGCUUUAAACUUAGUUAAACGUGUUUGUGUGACAUAAGCUGGAGGAGUGAGUUUGAUAUUUUGGACGUUACAUGGUUAAUUGCUCCUGAUCCAAAUCUGGUUAGAAAGCUCUCAGAUUUUCUGUCUCCUUCAUCUGGAAAAAUCUGCAGUCUGGUGUCAGAUUGAAAAUCGCACAUCAACCUGAAUGACUUUAAAAUUUCGCUUUUAAAAUCUUUGAUUUAAUUCAGGCUUUGUGUGGGAUGUUUUUUCAAUCCUUGAAUGAGGUCAGUUUGAUUUUUAUAAAAACGUUGGACCUGGAAAAAUGAAGGUUAAAGAAAAAUAUGAGACAGAUUGAUGCACAGCACAUCUUUAUUUGGUCUGGAUUCAAUUUCUGACUUUAAUGCUCUUUUAAUUCUGUCAAAUACAAUUAAAAUUUCUUGUGAUUUUCGCUCUUUUUUACACGAUUCUGUUUUUAAGUUUCAAUAUGAGAUGUAAUCAGUUCAUUAAGCCUAUAUCCCUUUGAUUCUCCUCUUAUAAGCCCCCCCAACAAUCUUUUAAUGUGUUUAAAUAAUUUCACUCAUUUUAAUCUCACUGCCUCACAUCUUUUUUUUUCAUCACUUUUUAUUUCCAAUAAUGAUAUCUUAUUUUUCAAAACUCUUUUUUAUUGGCUUUUUUUCCUCUUUAUUUACUAUGAUUCAUGAUUUAACUCCAUUACUGCUAAAAUAAUCAUCUAUUUCAUGACUUUAUUUGCAUUUCUUUUCAUUGACUUCUGGUUUUGUUUGAACUUUCUCGUCUUUCCUCUGUCUCGCCUCACCUUUUUAAAUCAUGAGUCCCUGCCUUUAUUCCAUCAAUCAAAGCACUUAGUUAAUAUUUGUUUCUGGAGGUGCUAAAUGGAAAAAUGUAGAACUAUUUAUAAGCAAAGUAUUCAUAGCAUGAAGAUGCGUUGAGAUCAGUUGUAAUGUUAAUGUUCAGUUUUUAAUUUUUAAUGUGAUAUAGGAUCUUGGAAGUUUGCUGAAGACUUUGCCGGUUUUUUUUUCUCGCUACAAACAAGUCCAAUUUGAUUUUUAUUUCCUAAUACCUAAAAUUACACAUUAAUUUGGCUGAAUGUGGCUCGCAUGUUUUACAUCCUUUUGGACCUUCAGGGCCACCAUGUGCUGUAUAAAGAUAGGAACAGACUGUUACUUCGAAUGUGGAGCCUUGGAUUUGAAAAGCUUUAAAUAUCUCUGCUCUGACAAAUAUUCUCGGUUUAUUGACUCCAUACAAACCUGUUUGAGUUGCCUCUUAUCAGAGUGAUUUUGUCCAAGUAUUCUCUCGCUGAAAAAAAUCACAUAAUCUCAUUUAAUUUUUGGAUUACACACUCAAAUCCCAUCCUGAGUCUUCUGAAUUUGCUUUCUUUCUGUUUUGAGUCUUUCCAUUGUUGCACUUUGAGGAAAUUGCUGUAAAAAAAUGAGUCAUCUGCUGUUUAAAAAGAUUGAUAUCUGGUUUUUGUUAGAGUCAAGUGCACUGGGGGAAAUGUUGGGCUGAAUUGAUGUUGUUACCUGUUGAAUAUCAGCUGUAAUCUUCAGAGCAGAGACCUAACAGUGUGUGUGUUCUUCUGUAGAUGUUUGAAUACAGGAAAGAAACCUGUUGAGAGCCCAAACAAGCAGAUCUACUGUACGCUCAAAUCAAACACGGCAGUACAGAGAUGGUUUCAGAAAUAAAAGCUGCAGACAUAAGUGCGUGCGGUGUUCAGAAGCGCUUUCAGAGUGAGCACAGGACCGGUGGGAUAUGAGAGCCUUCCCAUGGACUGAAUUGCCUCAAAGUGCCAGGCUGCUAUCAAAGCGCAUUAAUGUGAUGGAUAUCCGGCGUUCUGCAUUCAUUCUCCAUGCAGUGAAUGUGGGAGCUGACAAACACAGCGCUGUAAGAGGGCCUGCAGCUCUGAGCAGCUCUCUACCUCUAAAGCAGAGACAAAUAUAGAUGCGGCUCAAGAGCGUUUUAUGUAAAACACAAACAGACGUUUUUCUUUUAACCCAAUUUCUGUGAUUUCCUCUGAGAGAGCAGCUCGGUGCUCUUCAGUCCAUGUGAUCGACAACAGGGGAGUGCUACUCGCCCUCAGGCAGGGAGGAAAGAGUUCAUUUAACUUUAUCUUAUUCAUUUAUUUUGUUGCUUUAUUUCCCGAUAAAAGAUGAUUUUUUCUUGCGAUCCCUGCUAGCUGAUUUUGCCAAAAAGAAAAAAAAAAAAGGAAAUUCUAAAAUCUACCUGGCACAUCUGGUGCAUCUUCAACUCUUUCUGUUCUGUAGGAGGUCUCAGAGUGUCUUUUACCGCCAAAUGAACAUCUGCAAAUUCAGUUAUUUAUACCAGAAAACGUUGGAUUGGAUCAGAUUAGUUAAGCUGCAAAAGAAACAUGUGGCUCAACUGUAAAAAGAAAUCCGACCACAAACCAAAACAAGUGCUUCGUAAAAUCGAACAAGACUGGACAACGCUCUUUAACAUGUACAACAAUUAAACAUCAUAGAUUUGAUUUAGAAAUAACCCGAAUUCAAAUGUUUCUUAAAAAACAAAGCAAAGUGGGGAAAUAUGAAGACCAAGUUGGAAUGAGGUGGAAGUUUUAGAAACAAAAAUAGGCAGAAAUGCAUUACAGUAGAAGAUAAGACAUGUUAGAGACACUUCCACUAACUGGAGAGGUUUGCAUGAGGUGAAAUGAAGCGGUAAUCGAUACUGGCGCAGAAAAAGAUGCAGGGUUAGAAAUCUGAAUGCAGCUCCGUGACAUUUUUAUCACUGAAGGUCCACAUAAUUCAACCCCGUUCCUCCAGUUAAUGAGAGAAAACCUGUAAAUUAGCAUGAACUUCAAACUCCUUUCUGCUUCUCACCCUUCUAGAAAACCACUUUCCAUGAAUUUUCCAGACUUUACCUGAAGCAUUCUCUCAUUGGUCAUGGUGUUUUUGUGCAGAAAAUCAUCUUCCAUGAAUUUUCCAGACUUUACCUGAAGCAUUCUUGCAUGGGUCAUGGUGGUUUUGUGCAGAAAACCACUUUCCAUGAAUUUUCCAGACUUUACCUGAAGCAUUCUUGCAUGGGUCAUGGUGGUUUUGUGCAGAAAACCACUUUUCCAUGAAUUUUUCAGACUUUACCUGAUACAUUCUCGCAUUGGUCAUGGUGCUUUUUGUGCAGAAAAUCACCUUCCAUGAAUUUUCCAGACUUUACCUGAAGAAUUCUCACAUUGGUCAUUGUGUUUUUGUGCAGAAAACCACUUUCCAUGAAUUUUCCAGACUUUACCUGAAGCAUUCUUGCAUUGGUCAUGGUGAUUUUGUGCAGAAAAUUACCAAAAAGCUGGCUGGAAAAAGUGCAGGUCCACAUUUAGUUUAUUUGUGCAGCUCAUUCCAAAAACUUUAAAGUGAGGAAACUCCCCAUCUUGUUUACGCUCUUCCAAACACACCUGAUACUGAAAAAAAUUAGCUGUCACAUUUGAUGCUUCAGUCGAUUUCAAUCUCUGUUUUCAGCUUUUUCCAAAAUCUAUAAACGCAGCUCUUAACAUGGACCGAGAGCUUGAUAAGUGAGGGGUUAAAGGAGGUCUGGGCUCUGCAGGGCUUGGGUUAACUGCAGUGUCAAAGUGCCUUUUUGUCGUCUGAGGGGGUGGAAGGCAGCUGUUCCAAAGGGAUGCUUCAAAUCAGUGUUUUUAGGGAGGAAAAGUUGUUUUUGUAACCGAAGCUUUUAAGGCUCCGUCACCCUGAAAAAACAGACAUGUGGUUGUAUAUGUUGCUGUUGUGCGAUCAAAAUGCAUUCUGGGACUUAAAGCAGGCGCUAACCACAACAGAAAAGCCUCUCCAGCCAUGUAUCAUAGCUGUCUCACAACAAGCCUCGCCUCAAAAUAAUUUCUUAAUCCAUUAAUUGGCGUGGAGCGGCGUGCGGGGCAGGGCUUUUUGUUCAGUAUGUUUUUCAGAGAUGCAUACUAAUCAUAUAAAGUGAUCCUUUGUACUCAGGUUGACAGCAGCGACGAGGGCUUUUAGACGACACACACACACACACACACACAUACAUAUACACUCACACACAUGCAUAGAGGCAUGUGUCUGGGAGCGCCGCUGGCAGAACGAGUGUAUUAUUUUCCCUGAAGAGUGUUAUUUUCCUGUCAAGGCUUGAUGGCAACGUGCCAACAGAUGUGACAGCGAGCGAUCAUCCCUCCUUCAUACAGUACAGGGAGAGAGAGGGAGAGAGAGAGGGGAGGGACAGAUGAGGACGGAGACACUCUCUUAGUAUCCAUCCCUGCUUUUUCAUGCAAAUCGAUCGUAUAUUGAAUCUAAAAAUAUGAUAAAAUGUUUUUGGUGAAAAUUUCAAAGUUUUUCCAAAAGUCUGAAGUUUGAUGAAACAAAUUCAGGCGUCAUGUAUAAAUCUAUUACUUCAUGCACAUUAAGAUCGAAUAGUCGUGGUAAUUUUAGCCAGUAAGAUGUUUUAAAUAGAAAACAUCAUGUUAUGCAGGCCUUCAUAUCAUAUUCCACCAACUUAUUAAUUGGACUGUCUCUCUGUCAAACUAUCCGAGUGAUCCGUCUCAGUGCAUUAGGUGUGUUGGUCUUUGCUUUGAUAUCAUAUUUGUCUACUAAGGUGUGCAGCAGGGCUCUGUAUUAGGUCCGCUUUUGUUUACUAUUUAUGCAAAUUAACUGGGACGAAAUGUAUUAGAUGUAAGAUAUCUUCUCUGAACUCUUGCAGGAUGUGUUUGAUAUUCAGAUUUAACUACUGAAAAACUGCAAACCGAAUACUGCAUUUACUCCUAUUUUAGUGACCCUUCACUGGCUCCCAAUCCGCUUCCACAUUGAUUUUAAAAUUCUUUUAAUCGGUUUUAAAGCCCUCCCUGGUCUUGCCUCUCCUUACCUGUCCGAGCUCCUGUAUCACCACUCUGGCCAGCUACUGUUGAGCUCAAGUCUAGAGGUCACAGGGCCUUUCCAGCGGUCGCCCCAAGACUGUGGAACAGUUAACCUGCUGCCAUAUUAAAGCCCCUCAGACCUUAGGGUCUUUUAAAGCAUCUUUAAAGACCCACAUUUUCUCCCCUGCUUUUAAUAAAUGAGCACACAGGAAUCAGAGACACUGUAGCGUUUAUUCUUUUACUGUCUGUAUUUUAUUCUAUUGUUUUUAAUUUUAUUACCUUCGCCGCCAAGGAGGUUAUGUUUUCGGUAGCGCUGGUUUGUUUGUUUGUUUGUCUGUGAGCAACUUUAUGGAGAAAGCAACAGACGGAUUGACCUGAAAUUUUCACCAGAGGUGCGUCUCAGCCCCAGGAGGAUCCCAUUACAUUUUGGUGGUGAUCCAGACAAAAUUCUGGAUACUGUGAUCCAGAACACACAAAAAUAAGGGUGUGGUUGGAAUUUUCAAUGCUGAAAGAUAACCAAUGGGCGGCACAGUGGUGUAGUGGUUAGCACUGUCACCUCACAGCAAGAAGGUCCUGGGUUUGAAUCCGGGUCAGGGCAUUUCUUGUUUUAGGAACAUUAUGAACAGUGAACAUACCAGUUUAAACACAAAUAAAAGUUAAUAAAAGACACGUAACAGUAAAAGUUUUGGUGUGAAUCACAAUAUAAGGGGGGACAUGAGCUGCUUGGUGGAGGUCUGCGCUCUCCGAGUGAUUUUCUAGUUUUUAUUGAUAUCUAUUUAUUUACUUCUUUUAUUUAUCCCAUGUACAGCACUUUGUUUGACUGCUGUCUUUUUAAGGUCCUUUAUAAAUAAAUUUUGACUUGACUUUACUGUUGUAAAUGCAGAGAAAACCUGGCUCAUGUUGUUUUCAAAGGCAUGUUAUAAAAUGUGCCUGUGGUCAUCACUGCUACUGGAGGAGAACUAGAGGUUGUAAACACUUAAAUAUACCUGGCAUUGUGAAAGAGGACUUAAAUGAGGUGCAAAUUGAAACAAGUUGUGUUCUCAUUGUUGCUCUGUUAUUUUUCAACGUACUGGAUUAUGGUGAUCUCUGGGAUACAGCUUACAAUGCAUCCCUAGUUACCGUUUCUUAUGUGCCACUCUUGGCAGAGUGAGUUAGGAUAUGCCAUGUUUCAUUGCUCAGGAAGUGAACCCCUGAAAAUGGUCUAGUGUCUUAUUGCAGGCAGUGGACGCUUUAUGCACAGGGGUCAGUUUGCUUCAUGCUUUACUGAAGUUUUCUUCUGCACGGGUCAUUGCAAAAGUAAGAACUCGCAGCUAUUAAGUUGCUGCAUGAGUCAUGUGCGGAAAAUUUUGCAUUGCUUUAUGUGGAGUAUUCAUAUCUAAAAAAAAUAUUGAUGUCCGAAAAAAACGCUCUCUGUGUGUAAGGACCUUAAAUCUGUAUUCCUCUCUGAGUGAUCCGAUCUCCUGAGCCAGCACACAGCGCUGCACAGAUCAGCGCUGCUAUUCAGAGCUACCUGAUAAAUAACAGCCUCUGCAGAUCAGAUGAUAGUGUGUGUGUAAUGGCACUGUUCUCUUUUGUAAAGUCUGAAAGUAAACUGAUUCUCUCUGUUAUCUCUCUCUCUUUACCUCCGUCUCUCCCUCUGUGCAUCUUCAUUUACUUCUCCUCUGACUGAAAAACAAAGAAAAAGCAAAACAAAGCAGCAGAAGACAAAAGGGAGAGAAAGAGGAGCGUGUCAUUACGGGUUUUGUUUCUACAACGGCACAAUACCCUGACCACCCUCAAACGAUGGAGAGAGAGAGAUCCUCUGCAUGCAGUCGAGUCGCAGAGAGAGAGAGAGGGAGAGAGAGCGAGAGAGAGAGAGAGAGAGAGAGAGAAAAGGGAAAGGCAGUUUAAUUUAGAUAAUUAUCUCACAAAUUAACCACAAACUCCUUCCCUCUUAAUUACCUGUCUUAGGGAGCGGUGCAGGAAAACAAAAAGCCGAGCCGUGGAGGUCUUUGUUCAGGUCUUCUUGGGGGGUGUAAAUUGGUGGCUCCCCUGCUGAAAGGCCAGAUAAACCUUGGAGGGGACGACCAUUAAAGCAUUUGAUAGGCUAAUGGGGAAUACUGUUAGCAUCCGCGUUUGUAAUUGGACGUCAUAAAUCUGGAACAGGUGAUGGGGGAACAAAAGAGGGGUUUUGUGUGGGUGUCGAGGCCACGGCAUGACUUGUAAAUCCUUUCCCGGUUGAAUGGUGCUAUCUGAUGGUCCACGGAUCUCCAGCAUUGAUUCCUGUGAGUGUGUGGAGCAUUUAUACGUCCUCAGAAACACAAGCAAAUGUUCGUAUGAUCGGGGCUAAUAAAAGGCGCCGGUCUUAUCUGGCUGUCUGCUGGAGUUGAUUCUGUCAGUAGCGAUUAACCUUUCCCUGACUGUGAUGGCUCACCUGAUCAGUUUCAACUCUUGAAACAACUGGAAACCAAAGAUACAGAAGCUUUAAGCUGUUUGACACAAGGUGACAUUUGCACUUACAUUGAUGUGCAAGAAAAUGUAAUGGGGUUGAAUCGUUGACUUGCUGUGACUCUCCUUUGUAACUGAAACAAUCCUGUGUUCAAAACUCAGAACUAAGUAUUUUCAGUUUUUUUCAUUUCUGUCCUGAUUUCGAGAUUGUGUCACUUUGACUACAAGUCGUAGCCUCAGCUUGCUUCUGGUCAUCAUUUUGGACAACAGCAGUACAAACUAUCAGGCAGGAGGAGAGAGGAAAGCAGGGAGAGGAGCAGGAGGAGGCAGGUGUGUGUAUGUGUGUGUCUGAAAAGUCAAGGGACAGAAUGAGCUCAGCGAGAGAGGGGCUGUUGUGACCGUGAGUUCAAAUCAGCUUCUGGUUUAAAAAUAAGGAGAUAUGAUUAGAUAUAGGGCCGGGCGAUAUGGGAAAAAGUUCAUCAAGUUAUAUUUUUUUCAUAUCAGUCAUUUCAUAUCAGUCAUUUCAUAUCGAUACAUAUCACGAUUUAAGUAAAAAUCACAUAUCAAUCUUAAAUUUUCCUUGUUACUCUUAAAUGAAAUUUCACAAUGUUUAUUGGUAGCUUGUCUUUUGCAAUACGAUAAGCUACUGCAUCUUUGAGGUCUUUGUGUCUCUUCGAUGUUUUGUCGUGAGACAUUGCGCUAGAGAAAGCGGACUGAAUGAUCAGCUGUUUUGGCUGCACAGGCGCCAUGGGGGUUUGUAACCUUUUGCAUUGUGCAUGCUCUGCCACACUGCUUCAGGUGGUGAAAAAGAUCUGAGGUUUUCCCCGACUUUGUGAGAACAUGUACUCGACAUAAUUUACAGUGCUCAUUACUCUGCAUCAUGUCCAACCUCAAAAAACCAAAGUACCUCCACACCACCGACGUUUUCAUGCCAGUGUUGUCGAUGAUGUCGUCAUCUCUUGAGCCUUCAUCUGCAUUUCUGUCGGGGGUAGCACUCAUUUCCUUGUUUCUCACUAACAGUGUUGUCGGCUUCACAUGCUAUAGUUGCGUAUAUCUGCAAUUUGCUACUACGCAGUUGUUUGCUACUUGGUUCAAAUUCAGCACAUGAUUGGUUCAGUGUGAAGCGGACCUGGAGCAACUCCCCUUUUCAUUGGCUAUUCGUAUAGUCUACCAAAGCAGAAUGCAGACAAUUGAAAAGGAUAUUGACCAUGUUUUAUAUCAAUAUUGAGGGAAAUUAAUUUUCAAUACUGUUAUCAUUUUAUUGCCCAGCCCUAAUUAGACAUAAAUUAUCAUUCAUAACUCUUAAAGCCCAAGUCUUGAAGCUUUGAAGGAGGUUCUAUCAAAAGACGCACCUCUGGUGAAAAUUUCAGGUCAAUCCAUCUGUAACUUUCUCCGUAAAGUUGUUCACAGACAAACAAACAAACAAACAAACAAACCAACGCUACCAAAAACAUAACCUCCUUGGCGGAGGUAAAAACAUACUUUAAGUGAAAUCUGACUGACAAACAUGGUAAACAAAAAAAGCUAGGCUAAACACAUUAUUAUGAUAUUGCCUGUUUCAUUCCUCUCUGUUUUCUAUAUAGAUAUAGAUAUAGUCUGUAUAAUUGUACAGAUAUCAAGUGUGUACUGUUGUUUGUUUAGUGCAGGCCUCAUGAUGGUUAAUUUUGUCCUGGAUUUUUUUCUUGGUCAGUGUGGAGAGUGAAGUUCGGUGAUGUUAAAGCACAAACAGCCCACAGAGUUUUCACUGAAAUCAUUUAACUUCAUGAUUUUUUACUCUCAUGUGGACACUGAAUCAAAACAAGCAAACUUAAACAUUUAAAGCUCAUAUGACAACACUGUUAGUGCAAAUCUGCAGCCCUUUUCUCCACACCAGGUGUGAGAGCAUAAGAGCGCACACACACACGCACACACACACACUGAGUCCUGAUACUUCACACACACCCUCGGAGCUGCACCAAUAUUUGUGUUUGGCUUCUGUCACGUAUUUGUCCGAGUCCUCGUCUCUGCUCUCCACAUCCAACCGCCAGCAGGUGUGAACAACUCUUCUGCUGAGAGGGACGCACUCUGCUGCUCUCUCCUGUCACGCACACACACACUGUGAGGGCGGGGGAGGAGGGGGGGAGGGCAGGGGAGAGAUCAAUAGUAGUGAGUGUGGAGUUUGGAUAAUUACAGUUGUUAGCAGGCAGAGGAGAGCAGCUAUAGUGGCCUCUCCACUCACACUCUCUUAUCACUCUCUGGCCUGUCAUUACAGCUUUAAAUGCUGCUCAGUGUGUGUGUGUGUGUGUGUGUGUGUGUGUGUGUGUGUGUGUGUGUGUGUGUGUGUGUGUGUGUGUGUGUGUGUGUGUGUGUGUGUGUGUGUGUGUGUGUGAGAGAGAGAUUUUCACUACUCUUCUCUCUACACUUCUCUCAUUUCUCCUCUGCUUGUUUCUUUUUUAUUUUUUUAGAUAAAGUAUUUCCUCUCCUUCCUCUUCAGUCUUCUCCUAAACUCUCUCCCCUCACUUCCAUGUCUUCUCUGUGUUCAUCUGUUUACAAAUAUUACAUCAAAAAUCAUUUUCUAGGUAUAAGUCUGAGAAGUGUUUUGACAUCGGUUUGUAGUAUAUUUGUAGUCUGAGGAGUUUUGACCAAUUAGGAUUCAGCAGGAUUUAGUAUUUUAAGGAAAAUCUUGAUCACAACAUCACAACAAAGUUUUUUUUUUAAAUUUAAUUCCGCUUGAGUGAUACCUUAGUAUAACUUAAUAUUUACAGGAAAACUGAGACUCCCAAAAAGAAAUAAAUGGAUAUAAAUCACAAAUCAAUCACAACAAAUCAGAUUCUUUAACAGAUAAAUGUCUCUGAAAUGAUUCAGAGGGAAGCCUCUUUAUGAUUUACUAAUUACAGUAAAACUGAGACCCCUUAAAUCAUUGGAGGGAUGGAUAAUAUUGAUUAGUAAUAGUGUAGAGCAAAGCCCAUGGAUUACUUUCUACUUAAAAUGAUGAUACUUUUUCCUCCGUGCACUGUGAAUGUUUACAUGUUGUGUUCAAUAAAAAAAUGAAAACAUAUAAUUUCUGUGCAGUAUUAGUUUAAGCAGAAUGUGUUUGUCUAUUGUUGUGACUUAGAUGAAGAUCAGAACACAUUUUUUGCCCAAUUAAUGCAGAAAGCAAAGUAGUCUUAAAGGGUUCACAUACUUUUUCUUGUAACUGUAUAACAUCCCUGCCUCAGAUUUGACCUUGUAGAAAGACAAGCUCUCAGAACAGAGUCAUACCACUAAAUCUAACUUGUCAUGUGCAAAUAAUAACCCACUGUGACUGAACUGACAACAUUUCUUUGUUACUUUUUAUCUCUCUAAACUUUUUUUCCAUCUCCUUUUAACACCUCUUACGUAUCUUUGUCUCUUCUUUCACCUUUCUCCUUUCUUUCACAGCUUCUUUUGUCCUUGUCUUUCUUUCCCUCUUUUUUUCUCAUCUUUUUUUAUUAUAUCCUCCAUUCUCUCCCUGUCCUCACCCUUUUUCUCUGUCUUCCCCUCCUUUAUGCCCUCUCUACCCUCCAGUAAUCUUUCUACAUCUCUUUUUCCUCUUGCCUCUCCUCUCCUCUCCUCUCAGUGAAUCACCUCCUUGUUGUUUGCUCGUCCUCCAAGAACCUCUCUCACCUCCGCCCUGUUGAAACUUAUUUCUUCUGUCCUCUUCUCUUUUAUUUCCUUUCAUACAGCAGAAUUUUCAAACUUUGCUUCAGUAAAUAAAAAGCUCUCUGCCAAGCUCAGACAGUCCUUGGCAGGUUUUAAAGGUGUACACUUGAGUAUGAACCUGCUUGAUCCCUCUGAGGAGGCUGAGGGUCUCUGUUCAAGUUUCCUGAGAAGAAAAAAGAAAAGAUCUUACAGGAGAGUUAGCUUUAUUGGUUUGUGGUAGAGCUUUUUGUCUAACUCAUCAACAGCUUCCUAGGUCUUGUGACACUUCCAAGUGUCAAAUCAUCGACAUACAUUCUUCGUGUACUUAAUUUUAAAGAGAACUGAGCAUAGAGCAUCAAAUUUGGUCGACCACUCUUUGUUUCACACUUUUAGAUUUCAUGAAUAUAAAGCUAUAUAAAAAGUAACACCUACAAGUAGGGCUGGCCAAUAUCGAUAUAAAACAUGGUCAAUAUACUUUUUGAUAGUCGGCAUACUGCCAUGUUUUGGUAGACUAUAUGAAUAGCCAAUGAAAAGGGGAGUUGCUCCGGGUCCACGCCGUGCUGAACCAAUCAUGUGCUGAAUUAGAACCAAGUAGCAAACAACUGCGUAGUAGCAGGCAGCAGCUACACGCAACCACAGCAAUUCUUUUAUUUCAUUUUUUUUUACUAUUAUUAUUAUUUUUUUUAUCUAACAACAAAAUAGAGUGACAACAAAAACAACAACAAAAAAUUUAAAAAAAUACUUUUGUGAGGGAGGGGAGGGGAAAGGAAUAUAUGUAUAAUAGAAAAUAAAAAGAUUAAAUUAAAUUAAAAAUUAAAAAAAAGAUCUUAAUUGGAUUGCAUUGAAAUAUAUAUAAUAAUAAUAACUAUAUAUAUAUAUAUAUAUAUACAUACACACAUUAUUAUGUGUUAUUAUUGUUGUCGUCAUCAUUGUCAUUUGUUUAUUGUUAUUAUUAUUAUUGCAGGUAUUACUAUUGUUGUUAUUAUUGAUGCUUUUGCCGUUGUUGUAUCGUCGCUGUUGUGCCGGUGAUUCGGGGGGAUUGUGUGCGUGUGUGUGUGUGUGUGUGUGUGUGUGGGGGUAUGUGUAUAUAUAUAUAUAUAUAUAUGCAACCAUAGCACUUUAACAGGUGAAGCCGACAGCACUGUAGGUGAGAAAAAAAGAAAAUGAGUGCUACCCCCAGCAGAAAUGCAGAUGAAGGCUCAACAGAUGAUGAUAUCAAAGACAAAACUGGCAGGAAAAGGUCGGUGGUGUGGAGGUAUUUUGGUUUUUUGAGGUCGGAAAUGAAGCAGAGUAAUGUGCACUGCAAAUUAUGUCGAGUACAUGUUCUCACAAAGUCGGGGAAUACCUCAAAUCUUUUUCAUCACAUCAAGCAGCGCCACGCGGCAGAGCACGAACAGCGUUGUUUUCGUCAACGUCAUCGUCAACGAAAAAAACACUGCAGAAUAUAUGUUUGGUGUUUGACUGACGAAAUGCUCAUGAAUUUAGCAACUCUGUUCGUCGUCCACCACUAACAUUUUCAUCUAGUCUCGUCUCAUCAACGUAAACACACAUUCUUCUUGUCACAUUUUAGUCAUCUAAGACUUAUGUUUAGCUCGUCAACGUCACGUCGUUGAAGAGACACAAAGACCUCACAGAUGCAGUAGAUUAUUGUAUUGCAAAAGACAUGAUACCAAUAAGCACUGUUAAAUUUCAUUUAAGAGUAACAGGGAACUUUUAAGAUUGAUGUGUGAUUUUUUUAUAUCGUGAUAUGUAUCGAUAUGAAAAAAUAUAUUGUGAUAAUUUUUUUUCCAUAUUGCCCAGCCCUACCCACAAGCUGUGCCUACAUUUAUAUAUCAGUCAGUCAGAGUAGGACACCAAUAUGAGAUAGAUAAGAAGUUUUUGGAGCUGCUCAUCAUGCUAAGCUACUCUGCAAGAGUCCCAGAAUGAAAGAUGAAAAAAGGAAUAACGGGUCUUCUUCAAGUGUUGUUAUUUCUCGGUGAAGUUUGGAAGAAGUAAGAGUUCAAUGACAGGUUUUAAAAAAUACAGUAGAUGUCAGAUAAAGCUGUCGGAUCACGGUCGAGGAUUCUGAUGUGGAGACGAUAUUGUUACGUACGGGGAUUUGAAGUUUGUUUGAGAAUCAUGCCACAUGAGGGGAAAGACAUUUGUGGGGGAAGGUUGAAUGAAAGUGAACUCAUUUGUUGCUGUUUAGCUAAUUUGCUGUUUUGUCUCUCUCCUAGUUUAAUUUAAAUUGAAGAUUGUUCAGUUUGGUUGACUGUGACCCCACAUUUCUGCCUUUUUUCCUGAUCAUGGGUCCUUGUUAUGCUAUUUUAGUUUUUUUCUUGAACUCCUAUUUUUUGUAUCUCUUCCUCAGUUAGUCUUUCUCUUUCAUCUCUCUCCUUUCUCAUCUCUCUUCCAUCAUCAAUAAUCUCGUCUUCGUCGUCUUAUUUUGCUGUCUCUCCUCUCCUCACAUCCUCUCAUCUCCACUCAUACACUAAUUUCUCUUUAUCUCCUAUCUCCUUUUCUGCCUCUCCUCUCCAUUCUUUGUUUCCUCCUUCCCUCCUUUUUUUUGACACCGGCAUCUCUGCCAAGAAGAGGAUUUUACUCCGUCAGAUCCACGCUCUAAUUUCUCUCUGAGAGGUUUUCACUGUCCAGCCAGACGGGAUUUUCUUAGUUGUUGAGUCUUAACAUGCAACACUGAAAUAGGCCUGGAGAAACUGGAGUUAAAUCCCCUUCAGAUCACUGCACACUCGCACAAACACACACAGACACACAGUUAGUGUUUUGUUGAUUUGCACUGAUGUAGAGGAUUCUUGUCAGACAUAAGAAGGAGAUGAGAAUGAUGGAGAGAAGGAUUAGAUGAGCGAAAAACAACAGCGGUUUGUCCCCUGCGGGCUGUUUGCUCUGAUUUAGAUGGCGCAGGAUUAGCUGAGGAUGAGGAGAUCAGGGUGCCGUGUGACUCAGUGUGUGUUUGUGUGUGUGUGUGAGGAGAAGUGGGCUGCUGAUACGUCGACGCUCGAGGCGAAGCUGUCAGAUAUUCGACCAAUUUUCUUGUUGCGAUCCGUAGGUGGUGCAACAUAUACCAUGAAGGUUGCACAAACACUCUUACACACUCUUACACACACACCAUAUCCAGCGCCUCGAAACACAAGUGAAGUUUUAAAAAUUUAACUCCACUGAAAUUUUAAGUUCUUGUCUUCCUUUCACUACGAAAAACUCAAAUCUUAGUCUGUGGUUUUGUCUUAUUUCGAACAAAAAGUGUCUGUUUGGCUUAAUUUGAGCCACAUUCACCUGACGAGUCCCUGACAAGUCCAUAAAAUGAUACGUAAUAAGGUAACCUUUAAAGAAAUUGUUGUAAAGUCUAUUAACUGCUGUUUAAAUUAGGUCUAUCACUGUAGGGCUCUUUACUGUAAUGUUUUCAGGGACUCAAAAUUAUAAUCAGAGCUGGAAAAGCCUUAUGUGACUGCACUUUGAAGCAACCCCCAAACUUUUUGAACUUGUUCAACAUUUAGACACAAAAAUGUAAAAACUUGAUGGUAGUAAACCUGCAGAUGAUGUGAAAACCAUGUGAAUCUGGUCUUAUGAAACAGACUGUCAGCUGUCUCUCAAACCUUGUGUGUGUGUGUGUGUGUGUGUGUGUGUGUGUGUGUGUGUGUGUGUGUGUGUGUGUGUGUGUGUGUGUGUGUGUGAGAGGAGUAUCACAAUGAGACAGGAAAUCACUGCAAGGAUAAAAUUCUCUCCCUCUCUCCUCUCAUAGAAAAACACUCACAAAUAACCGGCUAAUCUCUGCCUCUGCCCGCGUGCCAUUCAAGGCUCCCUCCAAUUAAAAAGCAUGGGGGACUCGAACCCGCCAUCUUAUUUAUCAUAUUAAUUAGAAAGUCCCCCCGACAACAAAGAGAGGCGUACAGCUGUGUGGCAGCGGAGAGGCCUGGGAAAUGAAGGCUGGUUUGAUUUGUUGUCUUGCUAAUGUGACACCUAUUAUACAGGUUAGGCCUCAGAUACAGCAGCAGAUGGUGAUUCAGAGUCUGUGCUAAAUACAGCAGCUUCAAAGAGCUGCUCUGAGGAGGGGUUGUAUUUAGUAUAUUACAAAUUAAUGUAUUUCAUAUCAGUAACUCAUCGGUCAUGAAGCCUUGGUCCCCAUCAAUCAUCACCCUCCCUCUGAAUGAUGCUGUUCUUCAGGUCUGACGCUGUAACUGCAAAAAUGAAUAACCAUGAAAAGCCAACUGUGGAGCGUGGUAGGCUGCUGUUAUAACCUCAUCUUAUUCCACAUUAUGUUGGGACAGAAACAUAGCGACUACUCUGGUGCUUUACUUUUAUGGGAACAUUUCAGCCUUCCUCAGGUGAACUGCCUCAGCUUUAAAAACCUCGAGUGAUUGGGGGUUCAGACUUGUUGUUAUCUUUGUAAUAUUUGUGCACUUUGUUCUCCGACACGUAAACAGCCGGUCAGCCAUGUUGGAUAUACCGGUGAAUCUGACGUCGCAACAACAUGAAAAAUGUUUGGUCAGAAGUGGACACACAGUAUGCGAAACUUCAGAAAAUUCAACCGUGAUCUGAAAAAAUAAAAGGCCGCAAUAUCGCAGGACGGGAAAACGUCGCUGAUGUAAACGCUUGUAUUGACAGGAUACAGGUUUGAAAAAAAUAUUGACGUCCGAAAUAAUCGCACGAAAAAAACUCCUUUUUUCCUCUAGUAGAAGAUGUCUCAGGAUCAUGAGGACAUUAAUGUUCAAGUUUUACAUUUUUUCAUUCCUAUUACAGGGAGAUGUUUGUGUGUGCAACACUUUAUUUUUGCUAGUUACACCAGUUUAACAUUGACAGGAGUCUCAGGACAUCAUCUGUCUGAUGUCAUGUCCUGAGGCCCCUCCCAUCUGAGUGAGAUUUGUGAACACGCAAAUCUAUGAAGUUGUAGAAGAAGAGCUCCUGAAAAUCUUAAGAUAUCUUCACAAGAGCAUGCGAGAAAAAGCCUGAAUUCUGAAGCUGGUGGUCUGACUGUAAAGAUGACUCAUACAUUUAAAAAAUCUUAGCAUGACGUCCCUCACUGCUAACUGUGUAAAACAAAUAGUUUUUCAGUUCAGAAACCUCUCUGAUGUGUUGAGUUUGCUAAAGAUGCUAAAAGAGAGAAAGAGAGAGAGGGAGAAAGAGAGAGACGGAGGAGGUGAAGAGCUUUAAGAGUGAUAGAGAGAGAGAGCGGUGGGGUGUGGAAGUGGGGGUGACGUGCUCUGUAAUCAUGGGUCUAUUAGUCUGCUCUCUUUAUGACUGAUGGAGCUGGAGCGCUGCCUUAUGGAAGAUAGUCGCUCAGCAUAUUUAACAGCUGACAGGUGUGUGUUUGUGUGUGUGUGUGGGCAUGUAUGCUUGUGUGUGUGUUGUUUAUGGAUCUCAGUAUUAUGAGCUUUGUUUCUGUGUGUGCUGAAAAGUAGAGUAUGGUCUAGUUUGAUUUGACAGACUUACUUCAGUCCAGUUCAUUAGAACCUCUGAUCACUUCUUACCUUUUGUAAUAUCUGUCAUUAGCUGUCAUUGCCUCUUUAAAUGAAGCUGUCAUGUAUUUUAUUACUGAUAAGUGCCUGUGAAGUGAGUUUUUUGGUAUUAAUAAGACAGAUUAAAAUUAAUGUCUUUGUCUUUUUAUGAUAAACAAAAGCAAGCAAGAACACAGCUGACAAGAGUGGUGAUUGUGAAUAAUAGACCUUUUUCACAGUACGCGGAAGUUAGCGUUCUGCUCACUUCCGGUAUUAGCGUGUGGUGGAGCCACUUAGCAUCGCCCAUAGACGGCCAUUCAUUUUUCACGAUAUUAACAAGCUCACGACUCGUUUUUUUGAAUGUAAAAUUUUAUGCUUUGUGCUGUUUAACUAACUCGUGUUCUUCAUAAUACUGUCCGGAUUUUGUAAUUUACUUUUCGGGAAUUAUGAUUAAUAGGUCUGGAAAUUUUCUGAUGAUGGUAACCAUUGCUCUUCAGUAAUGACCUAUUAUUCCCGAAAAGUAAAGUACAAAAUCCGGACAGUAUUAUGAAGAACAGGAGUUAGUAAAACAGCACUAAGCAUAAAAUUUUACUUUACCUUUCACAAAAACGAGUCGCGAGCUUGUUAAUAUCGUGAAAAAUGAAUGGCCGUCUACGGGCGAUGCUAAGCGGCUCCGCCACACGCUAACACCGGAAGUGAGCAGAAUGCUUACUUCCGCGUACUGUGAUAAAGGUCUAUUGUUUGGAUGUUUAAAUAGAUCUCACUUGGAUGGUUGACAUUGGACUGAGGUACAAGGACUGUUUCAGGAUUUAAAAUGUUGUUGCUUUUGUCAGCUAUUAAUAGAUGGAAGAUGCACAGAGAUUCAUAACCCAUAGAUAACUGGCUGAGUAAAAAAGUAACUUGAAAUUUUCUAAAUGACAUGCUUAAACCUUUGGCUUGCAGUGGUGCUGAGGACUAUUGCUCAGUAAUGACAGACUCCUGUGUCAAAUAGUCUGAAAUUGGUCUUACUUGUUAAAGGGACUCUUUGCCAAAUUCAUUUGCCUUUUACGCUGUCAGUUUCUUUUAAACCAAGAAUAAGAGUGUCCUUUGAGCUUGGCCUCUCAUAAGUGAGCAGAAAAAACUGAAGGAUAUGCAGAGCGACACUGUCCAUGGUGCUGAAAGUGAAGCUGCUGCUUUCAGCUGUCCAUGGUGCUGAAACAGAUGAGUACACUGUGUAGAUCUCCAUUUAUCACAGAACCUGUGGCUAUAUUCAAAGUGAAACCGAAUCUUAUCUACGCAUUUUAUUUCUGAAAAUAUCGCAAAAAUCGGUGCGUUUUGGUCGAUUACCAAUGAGCCUCAAAUGCGCAAAAACUGUCUGAUUUAAUCGGCUAGCUGAUAAAUCGGUUGGGCCCUUAUGUUCACAAAGCUUUUUAAUGCAGCUCUAGUUUCUUAUAGGGGAAGAAAUUAGAGAUGCAACAAUUCAUUUGUUUGCUUUAUCUGGCCAAAGAAACACUUAAGAGUUUUUUUCCUAGUUCAGACCACAUCAUUGCAAAGAUAUCUUGCAGGGAAAACACAAGAGACGUAAACACCGCAGUUUAUUAAUAAAUGCUUUUAGACUUCUACUUUUCAGUUUUAUCUGAAGGCAUGUGUGUCAGUGUCAGCAGUGAGCAGGAAGAGGAGGCAGGAAAACAGAGAUAAACAGAGAGGACGAAAGUGAUGAAAGAUGAAGAGAAGGACACUGAGGAGUGAAACAGAUGAUGAUAAAUGAGUGGAGGAGAUCUCAGCGUUAAAACAAGCCUCUCACUCUGUCUCCUCAUAAAGUGUUUGUCUCUCCAGCCAAAAGCUGUUUAGAUUUGAUGGACACUGUGAAGAGUGUGUGUGUGUGUGUGUGUGUGUGUGUGUGUGUGUGUGUGUGUGUGUGUGAGAGAGAGAGUGUGUGUGUCAGUCCAGCCAUCUGGUAACCAGGGCAUUGUUUACUCUGUCACUGCUCAAUAUUUACCCAUCCAUCUCUCGUCCCACUGCAAACCACAAGUGUGUGUGUUCACAGUGAACUCAGGGUGUGUUUUUUUGUGGGUUAAACACUAUUUAAAUAAAGCUGUUCAUGUUUAAACAAAUUUCAUUCUAACUUGUAGAUUAACUUUUCCAUAUUUUUUUGUAUUUUCCUAUAUUGGUAAUAAGCUUUUGGACCGACAGCCUAAUUACUGUUUGAGUUCAGGUAAAGUUAUGAACAGGCGGAUGAAAAUGUAAUCAGUUUGGUCUCUUGUGUAGAAUUCCUGACAUCCACAUAUUGAUGUAAAUUUAAAAAUUUUAAAAACUCAGGCACCAAAUUCACUUGAUGAUGUGACACAAAACCAAUCAGUGUGAGAUUUUCUGACUUUAUGAAUCUUCAAACUUCUUCCAAAAAGCUUUUUUUAACUGUAUGCAAACAUAAUUACAGGCUAACAUGCAAAAGCAGUUUUUUUAUUUGCAUUCCUGACAAUUUCCAAAAUUGUUUCAGACUUUUCAGCCCUUAAUUUGAAUUCGUCUUAGUUUGUGCAUCCAUCAGCAAUUAAUACUGUUUUUCUUGGCCCUCUGUCCCCUCAGAUUGUAUCUUAAAGGUGGGGUAGGCAGGAUCUGAGGAAGUGCCAGUCCCUCUCUGCUCCAACAAGCCCCGCCCACAAACAGAAGCUCGCGCUCGUCCGUAUUGUUCCAAUUAAAUUCAAAUAUAUUGCAGAUAAAUACUUCAGAUAAUUACAAAUGGGGCCCAGUCAAGGUGAAAGUCAAAAGCAUUGGUGCUACUGUAGAUGCCAACAGACUACCAGCAAACACAAUGUUUGCAGGACUUCUAUAACGAGGAUAAAGUGACAUAGUCCAGGACCCGAGGUCAACAGUUUAGCGAUGGCGCUACAACACGCUACAGCAGGUCGGUUUGACAAGAAACACUUCUGUUACAGACACUUGUCUUACUUUGUUAAAGCGGUUUACCUGUCCAGCAGAAAGGUUACAGGGUCACCAAGAUCCCCAAGCGUCCCCCAUCAUUGUUGACCCGGCUUUUUAGCUCUUGUCCGGUCUACCUCCGUUUUAAUCGCCUUAUUCCUCCAGAGUCUCCGGUAUUUACUUUGUAUUCUUGCUUGUGUCGGCAGUCGUGGCCAAAGGAGGAUUCAGACCAUUUUCCGAACUUUCUGGUUGGUUUCUACUGUCCGAUAUUGUCGCACGCUAACUUUGUUUGGGCUCCUGAACGACACGGGGGGCAGCGUCUGCCUCACAACCAACCAAACCAAAUUUUAUAAUGUUGACUACACAGACACAACAAAACACAGCGAUAUCGUAAUAUUACCAAAUGUCAUCAAUAACAAAUAGCUAUUGACUGAUAUCAAAAGCUUUUUUGUAUAAACACCACAAAAAAAGAUGCUUCUUUAACCCCACCUUUAAUCCAGCGUAGUGUCACUCAAAGAUCAUUCAAACUUUCCUUCAUAGCUUCUUUUAUACAAUAACUCAGGGCCAUGAAUUAGAGCCUGAACCAUUACUGACAUUCGACACCCUUCACAUAUCAGAUGUGUUGUGGAAAAAACUAUCAUGGUGAAGUGGAAUGACCCAUCUCAAGCAAACCUAGAAGAGGUGACAGGCAUUUCUGGUGUACUCUAUCUGUAAUUCUUUGUUUGGCCGCUGCAGAAAAGGAUGCAUGAUGGCUCUGCUUUCUACUUCCACAAACAUGUCAACAUGGAGAUUCUUACUCUUGAGAUGCUUUCACUGUGCUGCAGCAGACUAAAUGCUCAGCUUUGUCAAACAGAGAGCAGAGCACUUAUCAGAGGCGGAGAUAUCUCUGCAGCCACAGAUCGCCAUCUCUGUUUCACUCUCCCUCCAUCUACGUCUACUUUCUCGCUCUCUCAUCUCAACCUGUUGUUGUUCUUCUCUAUGUCCUCUCCCUCCAUCCCCCUCGUCUCUGAUCUUCUGCUGCCGUCUAAGCUUCAAAGGUGGUGAAGAGGUUUGCCAUCUCAUCUUCCUCGCCACAGAACCCUUCAUCUUCUUCAAACAGCAGAGUGCAAAGGCUAACGGAGGGUUUCAGACAUCCUCUAUUCUGUUGCUCUGUGUCUCUCUGCAGAGACACUUUGACAGAAAUGCUCUCUGGGUGAAGACAGGGCUGAUCUUCAAAUUGACCUCAGACCCUCUCACUCUGAUCCAGUUUAUAUUUUAUAAUUCACGUUGUUUCUGCUAGUUUGGUUUCAGCGAUAGUUUCCUGAAAAUGACAGUCUGCCACCUGGUACCACAGUAUUAGAGCAUGGUGGACAACUGUUUUACCGUGGUCGUGACGUCCUGUGAGAACUUUUCUGCUCACAGCCAAAUUGAAGAAAAUAAAAAGAAGAAAACCAUCUGAGGGUAGAUGUAAAUUUGGCACCGAAUAGAUCCCAGUGAAACACAACAAUUUAAAGGGAAGUUACUGUUAAGUUAUCAAGUUGGAGGAACUCACAUUGGUUUUAAAAAAUUCCAGUUCCAAAAAAAAGUGAACGUUUAUACUAGGGCCAGACCAAUAUGGAUUUUUUUGGGGGCCGAUACCGAUUAUUAGGGGGGAAAAAAUCAGAUUACCAAUUAAUCGGCCGAUUUUUUCAAUUUAAAAGUUAUAGUAUAUAUAUAUAUAUAUAUAUAUUGUAGAUAUCAACAGUAUACUUUAUACCGUAGAUGUACUGUAGGCUACUGCUCUUCACGCCGACAGGAAGACCGACUGAUCAAACUGAUCAAAUAGCUCAGUCACUAAUGUGUACUGUUGUUUAUUCUACCGUCACUGGCACGGCUAACAGUGUAGCAAGGCUAAUAGCAGGUGGCUAACUCUAACUUUAGCUUGCAUAUUACAUGGUGAUUCACCGUUAACUCGGCGUGACCGAGACCAGCACAGCGGGGAACAUGGUGAAGUGGUUUGAACUGAAACUUGUUGACUUAUUGUGUAUUUCACAAACUGGUUUAUUUACCGUUGAGGCGGACCACUCUCCUCCGUGCGUCCCUGAGCUGCCUGCUUCAGAUCCGUCACUCUGCUGUGCUGUGAGGUAGUUAGUGGAUGAAGAUUGUCAUGAGGUCGCUGCGCCAUCUACAGGAUAAGUGGGGGAACUUUUCAAAUGGCAGAACAUUUUCAAAGUGAAACCGAAUCUCAUUCUCCGCAUUUCAUUUCUGAAAAUAUUGGUGAAAAUCGUCAAGUUUUGGCCGAUUACCUCAAACGGGCUUAAAUUGGCCGAUUUAAUCUGUUGACGCACCUCCCUUCCUACUGGCUCACUCAAUAAAAAUGCAGUAAAAGAUGAAGUUCAAAUAUUGGGUCCAUAAAAUUUUUUUAAUUAAACCAAUAAAGGCUGUAAAAUGUCUUACAGAUCUUAAAAAGGAGAAUUAAAAUAAAAGCAGUAGCUCAUCAGUGAAAAGUCAAGUUCUUUCUUAAAUCUGUAACUCACACCUAACUGUUUUAUUCGGGAAAUAUAAUGUCAGACUUGAAUUUUAAUUACAAGGAUGAGCGAUAUAAAAGACCCAGUCCGUUUAACCUUAUUAAUACAUUUAUCUAUGUAUUUGUGUAGGAUUAAACGGGAUUAUACAACAUGUUUUCAUGCUAAACCUCUUGGGUGUGAUGCACCAGAGGGCCACAUGCUAAACACACACUCUCACACACACACAUUCCUCAUCUCAGUGCGAGCAGACUGACUGAGUAGUCUCACUAAAGGCUUUUUAAUAGACUGCUUUGUGUGGGAGGGGGGACUCUGGGUGACGGGUCGAGGUCUCGGGGGAGACUUAGAUUGGGGGUGGGGGGAUAAACGGCUCAUUGAAAACCCAACAAAGCAGAGAAUCUAUGUUAGCUUCACUGCUGAAACUACAAUAAUUAUUCAAAACAACAACAACAAAAUCAUGAUGAGAUGAAAAAGACUCCAGUCUGCCUGCUCCAUGGCUUAAGACUUGGAGGUGCACAGUACAACUUUAAAUUUGAACUGGCUAACUUCUACUACUUUGCUUUCCAAAAGAGCAACCUGUUGUUAAAAAUGAUGCCAAUGUGUAGUUUUAAAAGACUGCAGUUCCUAGAGUGUCCACUAGAGACCUGAAGAAAAGUAAUACUGUGUCUACAGAGCCCAAGGCUGCACGAGUUAGGCUCUCACUUCUCUCCUUUCUUGGGGUGGAGAGAUGGAAGAAGUGAGAGGAGAAGGAGGAGACAGGGUUGUGUUUUGGUAUGAAUUUAAUAUGUAAACGAUCAGCCGGUCAGCCAUGUUGAAUAUACCGGUGAAUCUGACGUCGCAGGUGGACACACAGUAUGCAAAACUUUUUUAGGGUUCAAAAAAAAAUAUUGACGUCCGAAAUAACCGCACGAAAAAAAAGCUUCCGGUAGGUAAGGACCUUAAGUUUUGGUGUUUUAAAGGGCCGUUUAUUAAAGCUUGUUUAAUUAUUGGAUUUCUAUUUGAUGCGUAUUUUAAUUUUUUGUUUUGUUUUGUUUUUAUGGAGAGAUAUGGCAGGAAAUCAAAAGCUGGUUGUAGCAUGAGAAAUAGCUGUUGCUGAUGAGUUAUAUUAGGAAACAGGGCAUGUAAACUGAGCUUUUCAUUUGGGUUCGAGGUUUUAGUACCCUACAUAUCUAUUUCCAGAUGUCCUGUUGUCCAAUGCUGUGUCCAGAGCAGAUGUCAUUUACAUAAAUAUGAUAUAAACACCUCUUUAGCGGUGAAUUUGAGAGCAGUUUUGAGGAUUUUCUUUUUCUAAAUUACAAACUGAGGUUGUAACUUUUUGUCAGCCUAAUGACUUGUCAAAAUGUUCCAUCCUGAUUAGACAUAGGUGUGAAAAUAAACAGGAACAUGCAGCCACUUUCUAAAACUGGAAUAGUUGGGGGAGAUUCGACUGGUCCAGAAGCUCCAGUUUCAGGUCAUCAGAAGGUGACAUGUUUGACUGCAUCAUCUCGGGGAAGGCGAGAUGUUUGGCUCUGGCGCGUGUUUCCCGUCCCCUCUCUGCUGCAGAGAGUGUGAAUGAAGACGUUUAUUACAGCGGAGACACAGAGGAUUAGCACAGGGCUUAAACCAUUCUCAUGGUAAUGCGUGGAGCUGGGAGCGCGCAGAUAAACACAAACACUCACCUUAUCGAAACACCCAGACCUGAAAGACUACUCCUUAACAGCAACCACAGACCGGCUGAGAGACGCCGCAGACAACAGGAAGCAGACUCAGAGUGAGGAAGAUGUCAGUUUGUGGAGGCAGAUUACGGCCUCUUUCAAAAAUAAUGUCUGGACAAUAAAAUCAUUUAAGGUACAUCCAUCACACUCAGAGGAAGGUGGGAGGCCAUUGUCAAAGCUUAGGCUAAAAAACAACAACACAUGGACCUCAGUUCAGGGCUGCAGGACUGGACAUUUAGAGUGAUAUGUGGUUUAAGUUUUUAGGUAAGGUCCCCAUGCAAGAAUAAUGAAGCGUUAGGAUCUUCUUCACAAGUUAAACCUGAAACACCAGGAGACCUUUUUGUUGCCUUUUUUAUAUGAAAACUUGGGACAGUCUCAGCAGAUGACUGUCUAACAUAAAUCUGGUUCCGCUCAAAGUUUCUGCCCUUUAAAGAAAGUUUUUCCUCUCCUUCAACUUGGUAAAAGCGGCGAAGUGUUACACUCAUGGUAGAUUGAGAUGGAUCAGAGUGGGUUUGAUUUUAUGAGAUGUGACAAUGGUUGGACAUGGACAAGGUUGGACAAGUGAUACUUUAGGUUAGUGCAUGCAAUGAGAGCUUACCUGUGCCAACAUUACUGUAUGAAAAAGGUGUCAAUUUUCUAAUUACCUCCGCCAAGGAGGUUUUGUUUUCGGUAGCGUUGAUUUGUUUGUUUGUUUGUCUGUUAGCAACUUUACGGAGAAAGUUACAGACGGGAAAUUUUCCCCAGAGGUGCGUCUCAGCCCCAGGAGGAUCUUUAUCGUUGUGAGAUAGGGCAAAUUUGGAAUUUUUGCAUUUAACUCGAUAAAAAUGUCCAGAGUGUUUAGUAAAAAAUGACACAAAAGGAUCUCAAUGACUUUAUGAGGUGUCAAAGGUUGAUCCUGAUCCAGACAAAAUUCUGGAUACUGUGAUCCAGAACACACAAAAAUAAGGGUGUCGUUGGAAUUUUCAAUGCUGAAAGAUAACCAAUGGGCGGCACAGUGGUGUAGAUAGGCGGCACAGUGGUGUAGUGGUUAGCACUGUCGCCUCACAGCAAGAAGGUCCUGGGUUUGAAUCCCGGUCAGGGCAUUUCUUGUUUAAGGGGGGACAUGAGCUCCUUGGCGGAGGUCUGCGCUCUCCGAGUGCUUUUCUAGUAUUGGUAUAGCUCUUCACAAACAUCUCUGUCUUGUAGAGGUUUAAUCAGCAGACUGUUUUCUCUCAUAAAGUGGUUGUAAUGUGCGCUAAAAUGUUUACAUGAUGGAGCAGAGAGGACAGCUUACUCUCUGCCAUCAUAAUCCACGGUAUCGUCUCUGCUCCAGGCCAUCCUCAGCGCUCACUCGUACCUUCUUCACAUUGUUGUCCGACAACAAUCUCAGCUCACAAAUCCAUGAACCUUCAAAUCUUCUCUCUUGGCGUUGGGUUUGUUGUUUUGUGUUUUGGCUCCUUGAAGAGGAAAUGGGGAAGAAGCUGAGCUCUUGGGAUUUUUUUUUUCUGAUCCCUCUUUUCAAUGAACUCUUCAUCUUUAAACAUCAGGGUAACAGCAGAUCAUGGAGUGAGGAAGACUCCAAGAUUUGUCUGCCAUCGUCGUCUGAAAAAGAGGAGUGAAGUGCGUGCAAUUCAGAGUCUGACACUGAUGACUCUACAGAGCCGUGAGUUUAUAUUUGAUGCCCUGAAACAGUCUGGCGCCAACACUGAUCGUAUUUACAACUCGACUGAUUUUAAGGGGCAAGUCUAGGUCACAUCUGGAGUCUCUCAAGGACAAGUUCACGUCAGGGUUUUGGGACCAACAUUAACGUUUAACCUCUGCAGUAUCCUUGCCAGAACUAUGAGGUAUGGACACAUGCUCUUUCUCCUCCUCCCUCCUCUUCCUCUCCCCCACAGUGACAGAGAUGUAGCUUCCAGAUCUCUCCCCUGCCACCUCUGAUUAGAGCCGGCGUGGGUGAGACACACCUGUACAGCUGAUGGGAGACAAUGCGGCCGCUUCCUCCCAGAGAUUGAUUUUCUCCAUUAAAACGGGCCCUUUGUCUAAAAACCCUGCACCCCUUUUGUUAUGCUAAAGAGAAGAUGGAAGAUUUCCAAUUCAAUUUGGGCUGAGACGAGGGCCGGUCAGCUAUAUGGGCGGCCAUUGUUCUGGCUGAGCCCGCUGGGACGACACUAGCGUCUCCCAAACGCCAAUUAAGCUGGACGGAGAGACGGACAGGGGGAUAAUUGACAGGCAGGAGAAAGGCAGCCGUCUUCCUCUCUGUCUCAUCAUUGAAAAAGAAAAUCAAAGAGAAGGAGCAGCAGAGGGGAGGAAAAGUGAGGGAUGAGAGGGAGAACAAGCAGGAGAGGAGUAAUAACCUGUAAUAUGCUGCCCAGAGCAAAUUCAGAUUACAAGAAGUGUUUAGCUCACGGACGCGACUUUGACCCGGGAGGCCGAGUAAAGACAAAGAGAGCCGUGAUUGAAAUCGGAACUUUGGUUUAAUGAUGAUUGAUUUCAUAUUUGAGAAAAUAAGGCCAAGUCUUCUCAGAAAUGACACGUCCUUAAAGAGCGCGUUUUACAUUAACUUUCAUUAUCUUCAUCCUUCAUCAUUAACCUGUCACAGGUCCACUCCUGUUUUAAUCACUUAAGAUGCAUCUAAUUAAGGGUAAUUUAAGGCAAACUCUUUAAUACUUUCACACUCAUCUCAGAGGAUGUCUUAAGAAAAGGUGGACUUGUCAUCUCUGUUUUAUCAGUAAGCUGUUUUAGGGCAGCCUGAGCAUACCAACAACUGAUAUAGUCUGUUUUGAGGUAAGAGAGUCCAUUCAAGACAGUCAGAUUCUUCACUUCUGUCAGUGAGACGGGUCUGUGUCACGUAUCUGAUGUAGGACAGCGUCUUAAAGGGACAUGAGACCAUAGUCUACCUACACACAUCCAAAACCAACUCUUAUUUAUUUACUUUUUUGACACCGAAUAUACCGAUACGGGCAAAAUGAUGUCCGUUAUUGUUGUAAAUUUUGGUAUCGAUAAAUAUUCAGUUUAUCGCCCAGUCCUAUGAUGAAGUAAAUGGUAUCCUAUCUUGAUUUUAGUGUUGGUGGAUGUACAACAAAGGGCAUAGUCUGAACCUCAUGAGGGUAUAGGGAUUACACAUCUUGGGACUCAGUGCUUUUUAUUCAAAGUUUGAUAAAAUAAUAGAUUUUCUCCCCGCAAAAACGUUUAGCAGAGGUGGGGGCUUGACGACUCGACUUGAGACUCGACUUGGACUUGAGUCCCGUUUUUGACUUGCUUGAUGUUCAUAAAAUGACUUGGACUUGCUUGGGACUUGAUUGCUAAAGACUUGAGAGCAAAGACUUGAGACUCGACUUGGACUUGCAUAUAAGGACUUUCCCCCACCUCUGCCAUUUAGAUUGUGUAAAGGAAUGCUAGGAUGUUUUUUUUAGGUCUGUUUCCCUCCUUUCUGAUGAAAGGUUUGGUCUGUUGGGGAUGCUUGACUCCAUCUUACCCUUUUACCCUCUGAGGGUACCCAGAGUCUAAACUCUGUUUUAUACAUUUUUUUGCUACAUUUGUUUGUGGUUCUUUUCUUUGUUUUGUUGUAUGAUUGGUUAUUAAGGUACCCCUUCUUUUUAUUUUUGCAUCAUUUUACCAACUUUAUUCUGAAUUAUUGAGUGACCAAACGUCCUCUUAUACCCAGACAUGUCACCUUUUUGGGGGGCUGUCCGACCUGUCCAGGAGGAGUUUAUAAAAUCCUUCAAAUGUCCGAGGUUUUGUGUGGAAGUUGGACUAACUGAGUUAAAAGCGCUUAAAAACACUCGACCCGACCUGAAAAACCCUCAAAAUUUUGUGUGCGACUCUUCCCCACAUAGUAGUGUCCUCUUUUUUGGGGGAUUCAGAAUAUUGUCACCCUAGAAUUAUUUCUGAGAUUCUCUGGUCAGGGUCAGAACUCAGACUCAAAAGUGUACCUUUGUCUACGUCAGACCAUAAGGUUCAGGUUUGGGAUUUGAGAACCAAACAAUCUGCAGAGGUGAAUCAGUCUAAUAAGAACAGUGAAAUCCAGCUUGCAACAAGUCUUUGUCAGGGAUUGCUGCUGGAUAUGCUUUGUCAUGCCUCUGUUCAAUCAGGAUCAGUGCUCAAGCUUUUAAUUAAAGGGUUAUUACGCAGACUUUAAGUCAAACAUCCACCUGUGCAUGAAAAGCACCUUUUUAACAUUUCCUUACUGACAAAUCCAAUUAGCUCUUUCCUCAGCUGCUUUCAUAUAUGAGACCUGAGCUGAGAGGCUUGAUUUGGGCUCAGAAAGGCUGGAAUUCCUGGUUUUAAACCCAGAGAUGAUUACAGUGAUACAGACACAAAGACGUUCAGUACCUGCUCUCCUUCAUUUCUCCACAGAGAGCUUUGUGAAUGAAUUAAAUUCACCAUAGACUGGAUACCUGCUCACUCUCAGUGGGAGCCUCAUAACUCUGUGAAUUAUAUCUCUCCAAAUGCGUUUUUAUCCGUCUGGUAUCUGAAGAGAGGUGUAUUGAUAUGUCACCUGAUAACGCGUAACAAAUUGUAAAAUCACAUGAAUCUUUUUGGGAUUGAAACCUGUAUCUUGGUCACUUUUUUUAAUCUCAUUUUUAUGCUGUAAGUCAACUCAAACUAUAUGCACCCUGUCAUUGACUUGUACUGUACAUAUCUGCAAAAAUAACAUGUUUUUCUCCACUUUCUCUCUUCCAAACCAAUUUUUUUUUUUUUUGGUGUUUCUUACUGUUUCUCCUUCAAAUCAUAAUUUCUCUCGCUUUUAUCCCUCCACCCCUCCUUUUUCACUUUCCCUCUCUCUGCUGGCUUGUGACAGACGGCCUAAUAGGAUUUAAUAAGCCCCAUUUGCAUGUCAGCCUUUUAAAUUUUCUGUAAGAAAGAAAGGCAAAAGGAGGGACGGGGGGGUGGAGAAGGAGGGAGGGAGAGAGGGCGUGAAGGAAAAGAAAGAAAGAGAGGAAGAAAGGAGGGCGGGAUUGGAGUGAGCGUGACGGCGGACGAUGAUUUAAAGACCCUUUUCCUCUUUUGAUUCAUGUAGAGAAGCAUCAGAACUGCCAAUAUCUGCAUUUUUCCUGGACUUGUCCAUCAUGAUUCUCUGGCAGAGCGAGCAGAGAUCUGAUUUCAGUGCGGGGAAAAUAGCUCAUUAUUUUUUUAUUGGCAUUUUUUGGUCUGUAUGUUGUUCCAGUUUGUCUCGAACACGACAAAUAUCACAUUUUGUUGGAAAUUUUAUUUUCAGUGAGAGCUGGCAACUUCACGUCACUUUCACUAAGUGGCUUUUGUGCUUUUGUUUGGGGUUUUUGAAGGUGGAGUGCAACAAAAAGGUCAAAAAUUCAUCACUGUAGACAACGAGAUAUCGAGUAAUACAGGACAAUCAAUUUCAGCCACUUCACAGAGCUCCUCUCUGGUCAUUUGAUGUUCAAAAUGGUUGAAUGUUCUCACUAUGAAACACAACAGGUACAGCUUUUUACUAAUAACUCUCUUCUUCAAAUGUUGGUCAGGGAUUUAACCUCUUUCCCCUCAAAACAGUGACAUUUUUAUUGAACGUUAGUUUUUUUGGAGGUGAAAUCAGUACAUCGUGUCAAGCCAAAGUUUGAAAAAAGAGGAGGCACAUGACAGAGCAGCUAAGUAAGAUCUUAUCGAAUCUUAUUGAAUUUCCUUUCGGGGAUCAAUAAAGUUCUUCUCAUCUUAUCUUAUCUUAUCUUAGUUUCUCAAUAUCUUUCGGGAGCCAUUUUUAUGGAAAGGGUUCUGCAAAACUUAUAGAAUAGAAUAGAAUAGAAUAGAAUAGAAUGCUCUUUAUUGUCAUUAUACAAACAUUGUACAACGAGAUUGGAGAGGGUCUCCCAUUCAGUGCAAGUAAAAAGUAAAAGUAAAGGUUUAAAAUAUAAAAUAUAAAUAUAUAUACGGAAAAGAUGCAAUAGAGUGUUGAAACAUUGUUGUUAAAUAGAUUCCACACAGUGGACAGUAGCAGCGACGGUAAAAAAACUUAUUGCACAGUAGGUAUGGCUAUGUAAAGAUGAAUACAACAGUGUUACAUGCCGGAGUUCAGGGUGGUGAUGGCUAUGGGGAAAAAGCUAUUUCUCAGUCUAUUCGUUCUUGCUUUGAGACAUCUGUAGCGCCUGCCAGAGGGCAACAGCUCAAACAGCUGAGAACCAGGAUGUGAAGUGUCUGCAGUGAUGUCACAGGCUCUGCUGAGACACCGGGAGGUGUAGAUGUCCAUCAUGGACGGUAGAGGACAGCCAACGAUCCUCUGUGCUGCUCUGAAUGUUCUCUGAAGCCUCGUUCUGUCAGCCUCAGUGCAGCUCCCGUACCAGGUGGAGAUGCAGUACGUCAGCAGGCUCUCGAUGGCUGAGCAGUAGAAGGCCAGCAGCAGCUUACUGUCCGAGUUGUUCCUCCUGAGGUCUCUCAGGUGGUGUAGACGCUGCUGAGCCUUCUUGAUGACAGUUGUGUGUCCAGGAGAGGUCAUCGGAGAUCUGGACUCCCAGGAACCUGAAUGUGUGGACUAAAGUAUUAAAGUUAAUGAAAAAUUAACUUUAAUACUUUAUGGGAAUCAUGUGACCCACGGGAAUUCCCAAAAAAUGUCAUCCUCUAGUUUAUAUCGCCCAGCCCUAUUUCUUACAGGAGCUUAAACUUCAGCCAUGCAGGUUGCAGCUCCAACAAAUGCAUGUAGUCCUCUAUGGUUUCACACUACAUCAAGAUUGUUGUUGAUGUAAUCUUUGUCAAUCUUUUGUUCAUGAUGAAUUACUGUUAUGUUUUUUUUUGCAAAAAAGUGUCACUGAGUAGAUCGAGACCUGCUAUAUAUGGUUUAAUGUUAAUUGUACAAUUUGGCAUAGGUUUAAUAUUUGAAUUGUUGAUAGCUGGAAAAUCUCAAUUUUUUUGUUUUAAUCAUGAGAAUUAAUUUUUUCCGCAAAGAGUUGAAAUUUUUUGGGACGGUGUUUUUUGCUCCUCCAGCUCUGGAAUGAAGAGAGAAAUGUUAGGCAAUAACAGUGUGUGUGUGUUUGUGUGUGUGUGUGAUGGGGAGGCUGUCGCUCUGUAAGGAGGAUAAAAGGUCCAGCCAAAAACCAUGAGAGUCACACACACACACAUCUCCUCUCACACUCACACACUCGGUAAUCCCCAUGUUGGUAGCUGAUGUUUAUUGGCGUGUAAUAGGAUCAGGAUGAGGCAGCGUCAAUAUCAGAGCAAACAUCUCACACCCUCUCUCUCUCUCUCUCUCUCUCUCUCUCUCUCACACACACACACACACUCACACACACACACUCAGCCGCUGAUCAAACAUAGCCCAGGAAACAUUGUGAUCCAGGAGAGAUGAGAGGACUAAUCCUUUUAGCCUUCUAAGAAGACUCUCCUCCUCCUCCUCCUCCUCCUCUUCGUCUCUUUCUCUCCCCGGCUCGCUUCCUCAAUCAUUCUUCUGUUACUUUUUUUUUUUUUGCUUGACAACAUUGUUUCCCCUCUCUCUGUGCCACUUUCACUGACAGGGACAGGGCUAAAGAGAGAGAGAGAGAGAGUCUGAGCUAAAUAUACCCGCUGUGUGUUUGUGUUAAGAGCAGAUUGAUCUGCUUGGUUUGCUCAGAGAUUAGACCUGAUAAAUCCUCCUUUUUAAACUGAACCAGCCCUCAUCAGCCUCCUCCCUCCCACACUGCAUUCAUGUGUGUGUGUGUGUGUGUGUGUGUGUGUGUGUGUGUGUGUGUGUGUGUGUGUGUGUGUGUGUGUGUGUGUGUGUGUGUGUGCCAUCAUCCCUACAGGACUGAACCAUCAGAAUUUAGAGUUUUAGUUUGGGCUAUUUAAAUUUGAAAGGAUGAAACCACUUUUGGGGGCACCACAGAAUCAUGGCUGAUAACCCAAUAUUUGAUGCAAAGUCAAGAUUUGUCUCCUCCUAAUUACAGAAAAUCAUGAUUAAUAUUUUCUCUUUUGAUUGUAUGAAGAAACUAGAAAAGCACUCGGAGAGCGCAGACCUCCGCCAAGCAGCUCAUGUCCCCCCUUAUAUUGUGAUUCACACCAAAACUUUUACUGUUACGUGUCUUUUAUGAACUUUUAUUUGUGUUUAAACUGGUAUGUUCACUGUUCAUAAUGUUCCUAAAACAAGAAAUGCCCUGACCCGGAUUCAAACCCAGGACCUUCUUGCUGUGAGGCGACAGUGCUAACCACUACACCACUGUACCACCUAUCUACACCACUGUGCCGCCCAUUGGUUAUCUUUCAGCAUUGAAAAUUCCAACGACACCCUUAUUUUUGUGUGUUCUGGAUCACAGUAUCCGGAAUUUUGUCUGGAUCAGGAUCAACCUUUGACACCUCAUAAAACUCAUUGAGAUCCUUUUGUGUCAUUUUUUACUAAAGACUCUGGACAUUUUUAUCGAGUUAAAUGCAAAAAUUCCAAAAUUUGCCCUAUCUCACAAUGAUGAAGAAUCCUUCAAAAAAUUCCUGGAUCCAGAAGGCGAUCCGGAUCACCACCAAAAUGUAAUGGGAUCCUCCUGGGGCUGAGACACACCUCUGGUGAAAAUUUCAGGUCAAUCCGUCUGUAACUUUCUCCGUAAAGUUGGUAACAAACAAACAAACCAACGCUACUGAAAACAUAACCUCCUUGGCGGAGGUAAAAAUGUGCUCAACUUUCAAGUCAUUCAUUUUUUAGACUUCCCUCUCGAUAGGAAGACGAGUUACCCUCCCUUAGUAUCUAUCCGGUAACUACACUGGAUUGAAACAUGGCAUUUUCAUGGUAACAAUCUGAUGAAUUCAGUGGGGGUUUGGGGGCUGCGAGCUGAGCUGAUUCUCACUCUAGUUCAAUUGCUGACUUGUUUUUCUGGAUUAAUUUGUAUAGAAGAAAAUGAGACGGAGUAGUAAUGGCCACUGGAAUUGAAUCCAGUAAUUGUUAAAAACACUUAAGCAAAUUAAUAAACAAAACUUUAACUGGUGUUGGGGGGCUGUGAGCUGAGCGAGCUGACUUUUAUUUUAGCCAAUUUUGACAUGCAAGUUGAAUAUUCUUUUUUGCCAAACAAAUGUAAAUCAGUUCAGUAAUUAAAAUCGUUUAGUGCUCUAAAACAUCGUCUCUUCCAGACACUUGCAGUCAGGUUCAGAGUCCUAUGAGCUGAGCAGACCUCAGCUCACCAGUUGACUGUAUUUCUCUGGAUUGACGCAUAAUAGAACUCUAUUUUAUAUACAACCGUGCCGUCAGAUGCAUGUUCGGAAUGACUGGUCAGAAGCAUUAAAUAAGCAUGUAAUGCAAAGGUUUACAUGUACUCCCACUGCAGGAGUACACAUGCUUGUGAACAUGUGUGUAUGUCUUCAAACAGAGCUGUGAGUGCUUAAUGAAUUUACUCUGCUCUGAUUGGAAAUUAAUUAAAACAGCCUCAAACAGACAGCCGCCCACAGGGAGCCCCAGCAACACACUGACAGACAGAUUACUGCUCCGAGGGGGAGGAAGGGGGAGAGACAAGGGGGGGGUCCAGAACUAUCAGGUGCACCUUCUGCAACCCCACAUGCCAUGAGUUAUAAGCACCGUCUACUUGUUGUCAAAUUUAGAAACUGUGCUCUGUGGAUUUCAGCUGAAUUAUCUGUUACUAUAGUCUAAAGUUUAAACAAUAUACUGAAAAAAAAAAUAGCUAAGCUCUUUAGUUUUGUUAUCAGUGUCACAAGCCUCCAGACUGUAUUUCUUAUUGUAGUUCUCUUGGAUUUGUAAGGUCAAAUGAAACUCUUUACACCAAGGUAUACGUGCAUAACUCUAAGGCUUACAUUAACCAAACAUUUCCAGGGCAAAUCUACUUCAAUUAUUUGUUCAUUUUCUUUUAAAUGAAGUUAAAAAAAGCUGCAGGGACCAAAACAGGAUUUGUGUACCAGGUUAUGAACAUGUUAAUUUCUGCCAUAAAGUUGGUCAUUGUCAAAAAGGGGACCCAAUAGGGAUUGACUCACUUUCGGAGCCAGCCUCUAGUGGACAUUUGAGGAACUUCAUGUUCCUGAAGGCUGUCAGUAACUACUAUUAAAUGUGUAAAUAUCUUCGCAUUUGAAAGUGUCUCAAGCUGAUGAUAAUAAAAAAAUAUACAUCAGUGUAAAGUUUCUUAAAGUUAAAACAUUUUUACAUCUGAAUGAACACAAACAUUAGUUAUUUUCAUGUGUUUGAGCAGUUUUUAAGGUUGAUGUCAGUCCAGCUUAUUAAACUGUGAAUGUAAAUAAAAUGAACCGAAGUAUUAGAUUAAUCCCUAUGACAGCUGAAACUGAAUGCACAUCUAUGAAUGAUUUUCCUCCAGCGAGACAAGUGUGAAUGAGACGAGACAAGUAAUAAGACAGACAAACAACAGACACGUCAAUAGUGACAAGUUACUGUACUGAAAGAGGACAAAUCUGACCGCGUCCUUUCACAUUAUCACAUUGUCCUUUCAAUCAGAGAAUUUGAAAACCUCCUCCUUCACAUGCAUGGAUGCCUUUUGAUAGGAUUAAUACCAUUAAAUAACCAAAUGACUCACACAAGUCUUCGCUGAAAUACUUUAAAUCCUCGUCUUUAUCCGAGCUUCUCUCUUUGCAGACCCCAAACAUACAAAACUGUCACUGGAUCACUUUGACACCAGAAGUAAAAACACUAAUCAUGACAGAAAAAUAGUAGUAGUUUAUUUGUCCCAUAGGGAAAUUGAAUUGCAGAAGAUCACACAUUUGGCAUUUCAUCAAGAACAGUACAGAUAAAAAAAAUAAAACAGCAUGUAAACAACUUUCACACAGAAUUAACAGUAAAAAUAAGUAACAUCAUAAUCACACUUCCUAAGUCUCACCUUUAACCUGAUCAGACCAGCUGAGCAGGCUUUAGGUGACUAACUAUGUGUUGGGUCUAAAACCUGCAACAAAUGACUCAAACACAAAGAAGAGAAAGACAAUGGUAUCAGAUUUCUUACUCGCGAGGAGAACGGACAGAGAUACGUUCAAUUACAAUCUCCUCCCGCUCUAAAGUCUAUCUUGUCGUCUCCUCUCUUUUUAUUAUCCUUAGGGUGGUCCCUACUUACAUGACGCUGCAUACACUAAAGGGUGGGGAAUCAAUCUGCUGCAGCGUAUUCACUUACAUAACACAUAAUUAUACUAGAGUAAAUAUGUGCAGACUUCUUCUGGAGAUGUCAAGAUGACCGCUGACAUUUCACAGUCUCCUUUGUGGUGGUUAACUGUUCACAGCGGAGACAGGUACCCAUCUGCUUACAGGAAGAAGGCGAGCUCAGAGAUGUAAGAAAAACACACGAGUUGCAAAGCAGAAGCUGAGUAAAGCUACUGAUAAUUUCUAUAAACUUUUAUACACAUUACCCUAACACUAUGGCUAUUUGGUAUUUAGGCAUUUAACGUUUUUCCUGUCCUGUCUCUGUAGAUGUCUUCCAUACAUGGUAGAGUAGUGCCCAGUAACUUACUGGAUAUGGAUAUAAUUUGUCUAACCCUCUUUUUCUGUGCCUCUGUGGCAUUGCCAAACCAGCAAGUAACACAAAAAGAAAGAAUCCAUUUGGAGCAUUCUCCUUUCAACAGUAAAAGACAGAAGUUUCUUUAAGUGGAACAUUCUUUGUUGAGACUUGGUACCAAUCCAAUCCAUUUUAUUUAUAUAGCACGAUUUAAACAAACACAAGGUUUCCAAAGUGCUGCACAGCAAGAUAAAAAUACAGUAAGUAACAGAAUAGAAGCACAAUAAAACAAUGAAGAUAAAAUAAAAUGAGAUGAAAACACAGUACAAUCAAAUAAAAAGCAAAUAAAAGACAAUAAAAAUGAAAUCAACCUUCUACUGAGUGUUAAAAGCCAAGGAGAAGAGAUGGGUCUUAAAAACAGACAGAGAGGAGGCCUGUCUGAUCUGCUGAGGCAGGUUAUUCCAGAGUUUAGGAGCAGCGGAUCAGCUGAUCUGAGAGAGCGGGACGGAGUGUAAAAAUGUAGAAGCUCAGAGAGGUACGGCGGGGCAAGACCGUUGAGGGAUUUAAAAGCAAAUAAAAGAAUUUUAAAAUGAACCCUAAAACGUAAAGGCAGCCAGUGGAGUGAAGCUAAAAUACAAGAGCAUGCUGGGAUUGAGCUGAUUUACGACAGAGAAGCAGAUUUAAUAUUUUAGUAUUUGUUUCUCUCCUCUCAGAUUCCCUGUUUGGACUCAUCGGUGCUGUCUAAGAGGACUCUCUCUUUCAGAUCAUACCAUUUCUUCAAAAGCUACGAACAGACCACAAGGUAAGACAGCUGGUUGUUCCUGAACCUGCAUGGUUUUGACUUUGACUUUCAUAAGCAUUUUUAUUUUCAUUUCUUAGUGGGCGUAAAUCACUAAAACUCUGAAAUAACUACCUUUAAAAUGUCUAUAAGAUUACUUCUGCAUCAAGGAAACCCCACAAACACAACCCAAGUUUCUUUUCUUUUUAAUUGAAGUAGUUUCAUCUUUAAAUUAAUUCUCUGACGUGAGCAUGUAGUAAAAAAACGAGGCCAGAGCUGAAGUUUCUGCUCCACGUGAUGCUCUGCUGCAGACGUUGAAGCUAAAAGCAUCAGGACUCCACCUGUUGCUGCGUCAGAGCUCUUCCUCCUCCGGUUCAGGAAGUGUUAACUGGCGAGGCUCGCUCAGGCAGACAAUGAUGUUAAAGACUAAUUGACGAGCACUUUAAAUAAGUCCUAAUUAGAGCACGGCUGGUAAUAAUUGGGCAGGCAGUCUGAGCACUAAUUAGCGUUAAAAAUAAGCCUGCUAUGUGCAUGUGUGUGUGUGUGUGUGCAUGUGUGUGUGUGUGUGCAUGUGUGUGUGUGUUACGGUGUGGAUGAAUGAUCUCUGCAGGGGGGCUGAUGAAGAAGCAGACGGAGUGAGAGAGGGAGAAAGGGGGAGAUAAAAUGCCGCCCCUCCUCGCUCUUUUGUGGUGGCGUGCAGUCUGUGGGUGGCCCCCUCUCUGCACGAGGUGGAGGGCAGGUGUUAUAUCUGUGUGUGUGUGUGUGUGUGUGUGUGUGUGUGUGAGUGAACUUGCUCCUAACAGGACUAAUUGAUUCUGUACCCUCUCCUUUUCCUGCCCAGUCUUUCCCUCUCUCGCACACUCUGUUUUUUCUCCUCCGCUCGGCCUCUAAUUGCAGAGAGGCAGCUAGGAAACAGCAGUAAUAGAUUUGCCACCUGCUGCACAGACACAUUAGUAACACACUCGAAUGACUUGUUUGCCUCUCUCUCUCUCUCCCUGCUGUUGUCUCUUCAUUGUUUACAGCGAGUCCUUUCAGCCAGCGACCCAGGUGUACUGAUCCCCCAUCUGGAUAUCAGCCAGCCUGCAUGUUAAAAAUACUACCAGGUGGCACUCCUCUUAAUGUAUGAGAUAUGUUUUCGCCAUAUUUCUUCGCUGUGACUCUGUUGAGUUAGUAGAGCUUGAGUCAUGCACUUUAUUUCUGAGGAGAGCUUUUAGCAGCUGUGUUGUCAACUAUCGGUGAGAAGCUCUGAACUUCGUUUCGGUCCAUUUCUCGUUUCUAUUCAUGUAAUUUACUGUAACUUUUAUUUUAAAAAGCGGUUAUUUUGAAUUCGAUGCUGGAAACAUGGGGAGAUAGUUGAUAUGGGAUCAUGUUUCUUAAUAUGUGUCAUCAGCUCUUCUCCUACCAACACUCUGUAAACAUUAGUGAGUCCAGGAGACCAGUUUCUGUACUCUGACAGUGAGAUAUUGUCCCAUUCUUGCCUGAUAGAGGAAGACUAGAGUCUCCUUUAUCCUACUUUUUUUGUCUUGAGGUACAAAAUAUUUUUAGUGGGUGUCAAGGUCCUUACACACCGGGGCUGAUGCGAAUAUAGAAUGUGAAAUUACGAAAUAUUCGGCAGAGAAUUUUGACAGGUGCUAGUCCGGCCUCCUUUGCCUCUGAUUGGCAAGGAAAUCUGGAAACGUCAUCACACGCUCAAGCCAAAUGGUCAGCACUUAUAGCAAGUCAGAGGCGAUAAGAUAAGCACAUGAAACUAUGCUAACAACCGUUAGCUUACGGCGACCGGUUGAUUGUUUACGUGUUGGAGAACAGAGUGAUUUUUGAUAAAAGACACAAACAUUACAAAGAUAACACCCGGAGGACAACAUAGUGUCGGAUCUCUCAUAUGACGAUGGUUUGUGCGCUUUAACAGUUUGAUAAACGUCUUUGUUUUAACUUUCAUCUGUGCUAAGUAACUUUAGCUCGUAAGCUAACCUGUUCAGAUACAACAUACCAUAUGUAUUUUCACUGUAAACUCAAACUCAAUCACAGCGUUUCUGUCACAGCACCAUUAGGUCUCAGUUGCGUUGUUCCCGGUGUGUAAGGAACGUAACUGUGAACACGGCGCUCAGAUGUUUUUAAGAGUAAAAUACUUUGUCAUGCGGCGAUUACAACUGGUAUAGCUAACAAUAACUAACAAUGGCUAACAGUAGGCGUCUAUCUUAGUUUUCUGACUUGUUUACUGGAACGCUGUCGACUCGGGUGUAACAUCAUUCCCAGCUUCGACAGCCGACUUCCGAGGUAACAAGAACGCAGCGUGAGACCUACUGGAAAAGAAAGUUAGUAUGAAUGUCAUAGUCUCUUUCCUGGAGAUAAAUGUGUGUGGAUGAUAAAAUGACUUGGACUAAUCUGAAUAUGGUCGUUCUUUUUUGUUAAUAUUUGAUCUAAUCUGUUAUCUUUAGUCUCGUUGGCUUAUCUUUUUAAGCUUCUACCCACAUUGCCAAAACUACAACCAAAUGGUUUGAUAUCCAAAAAGAAUGUAAAAUUUCCAUCUCUCAGACCAUACAACAUUUUUUUUCAAUUCCUCUCAAUCCAUCCUAAAACAAAUGGUUAUUGGGAGUGAUUUUGAACCCAUGCAGUGAUUUCCACUAUAGAGUCAUGUCUGUUUUCAACUUAGUACUGCUUAAGGACUUAAAGAUUACAGCCAUCCACUCUUGUUUUUAUCCCUUUUUGUACAGAGAUUUUCUCUUUUGAUGAUAUGAACCUGCCAUUAAACCUCAAACAUCGAAACUGUCGACAGAAUGUGGAAUCUGCUCUUUCAAAAGGGAGUGAUCUUGAGACAUAUCGAGCUGUUCUGAAAGACCCAUUUUCUUCAAGUUUAUGAGUAUUUUGAACUGUGAUCAGUGGUGAGGUCUGCUUUUCAAGUCCAAGAACUUGAAGUCGUGUCCUCUCUGUGUAACCGCAGCAGGAUUCAUCACUCACUCAGACUUAAAAUUAAAAAUUAUUUGAACCACUAAUUAAUGGCACAGCAGAGCCAGUCUGAAAUGAACUGUCUGGUUUGGAACAUGCCAGCUGUGCAGUUGUUGGUCUCUAAUUGCUGGUUAAUUAAUUAAACAUCCAGCGGAUUAGAGGAAUUAUGGGCAAUUGUCCUUUAACAACUCUUAACAAGGUCUUGAUUAUGGCCUCAGCUGUAUCCUGUGGCUCAAAUGAUCCUUCAAUUAGUGAUGGAAAGCUCUAGAAGAGACACAUUUGAGGAUGAGAUGAUGAAUAUGAGAUGCAAAGGUACUUUUUUUUCCAUUUCGCAGCAGCAAACUUUUUAUUCCUUUUUUUUAACAUUAACACAUUUCCAAUAUGGGAGUAAAAGGGUUUCUACAAGACCUUGUCCAGCUACAGGGUCAUUGGUGUUAGGUUUCAGUUUUUCAACUAAUGAGAAUGUUUUUAUUCAACAGCAGUCCACAGCAAUUUCAAUUUUUAUAAGAUUUAAAAAACACAUUUAUACUAUUAUUCUACUUGGUGCAUUCAACUGAUUACCUCCACAAAGGAGGUUAUGUUUUUGGUUGUGUUGGUUUGUUUGUUUGUUUGUCAGCAACUUUACUUAAAAAGUUACAGACGGAUUGACCUGAAAUUUUCACCAGAGGUGCGUCUCAGCCCCAGGAGGAUCCCAUUAAAUUUUGGUGGUGAUCCGGACAAAAUUCUGGAUACUGUGAUCCAGAACACACAAAAAUAAGGGUGUCGUUGGAAUUUUCAAUGCUGAAAGAUAACCAAUGGAUGGCACAGUGGCGUAGAUAGGCAGUACAGUGGUGUAGAUAGGCAGUACAGUGGUGUAGAUGGGCGGCACAGUGGUGUAGAUAGGCGGCACAGCGGUGUAGAUGGGCGGCACAGUGGUGUAGAUAGGCGGCACAGUGGUGUAGAUAGGCGGUACAGUGGUGUAGUGAUUAGCACUGUCGCCUCACAGCAAGAAGGUCCUGGGUUCCAAUCCAGGUCAGGGCAUUUCUUGUUUUAGGAACAUUAUGAAUAGUGAACAUACCAGUUUAAACACAAAUAAAAGUUAAUAAAAGACACGUAACAGUAAAAGUUUUGGUGUGAAUCACAAUAUAAGGGGGGACAUGAGCUGCUUGGCGGAGGUCUGCGCUCUCCGAGUGCUUUUCUCGUUUUUGUUAUGUUGUAAUUUUGAAGUAAAGCUGCAGUUUGUUCUACAACUUUUUCCUGCAAUUCCAACUUCACUGCACUAUAAUAAACUGGGGUGUUUUUGAGCUCUAAUAGGGCCUCAUACUUCCAGCUGCAUUCAUGUAUAAAACCGGUCGUAUUUCAGGACUCUGACACAUGGUGACGGGAAGAUUUCUCCAGCCUCUGCAGCCCUGUCACAGAGAUAAACGUUGUAGAUUUCCCAUCAUACACACAUGCACGCACACACACAUACACUGGUUGUAUGGAGAUAGGAAGGUGGCUGACAUUUGUGGAGCCCCGGGUGAGGACAUGGCCUUUUCUCCUCAUUUCUCCCGGCCAAUCACCCAGACUGAAAGGGGACGAAGAUAAGGCCUUUUGUUUGGCCUGACAAUGUCCCACUGAUACUGCCGUGGGAGACCAUUCAGUGUGCGAGUCUGUGUGUGUGUGUCUGCGUCUAUAUGUGUGUGUGCAUGCUGGGUCCCGUCCCUUAAAGACAGGGAGCCCCUCAGAGAAGUCAUUACAGGAGCAUUAUUCUCAUCAGAGCUGCCUCCAGACACUAAACUUCUACAUGCCCACGAUCACAGAGCUGAGGACAAGAUGGCGCACAAGAUCAGACUUUAAACUCAAAGUCCUGUGAGGAAUUUAUGAUCCUGUUUUUUGCAUAAGUUAACCACUGCCUAGAAGAAAGAGUUGUCCUUUUAGCUCAAAAGCUUUGAUAUGUUCAUAAAUUCAUAGAAAAUGUUGUCCUACACCCCGAACAAAUCAGAGCUGUUGUCACUUUGGUUUGAUGACAAAAAGGAGCUGGGCUGUGAGCUACUGUUGAGCUGGAGUACAUUUUUCCCCUCUGUGUUGAAACCAUUAUUCUCUUUUUUUACAUUGAGGCUGCCAUGACAGUGACUGACAGCUGACAGCGAGCACACGACUGCUGCAGAGUACGAUUUGCACUGCCUGGUUGCCUUGACGUCUGAACAAUGCGACUCAAAUCUGACAGAAUUCUCCUUCCAAGAUGUUUUAUUUUAUUUCAUGUGCAGUUUUCUGUAUCACUGAAGCAGAAAGAAACGCAGGAAGGGUCAGGUGAAUUUGAACUUAGGGCCACAACCUUAUUGUCUGUGUUAGAAAGAUAAGCCAACUAGACUAAAGAUAACAGAUUAGAUCAAAUAUGAACAAAAAAGAACGACCAUCUUCGGAUUUAUCUCCAGGAAAGAGACUAUGACGUUCAUACUAACUUUCUUUUCCAGUAGGUCUUACGCUGCGUUCUUGUUACCUCAUAAGUCGGGUGUUGAAGCUGGGAAUGACGUUACACCCGAGUUGACGGUGUUCCAGUGAACAAGUCAGAAAACUAAGAUAGACGCCUACUGUUAGCCGUUGUUAGUUAUUGCUAGCUAUACCAGUUGUAAACGGCGCAUGACAUAGUAUUUAACUCUUACAAACACCUAAGCACCGUGUUCACAGUUACGUUCCUUACACACCGGGAACUAAGAAAAUAUAGGACGCGAAAUUAUGAAAUAUUCGGGGCGAAUUUUGACGCGCCUGACUGUACUCAUCAAGCACGAUGUGAUUUUGUGGCUUUCCAGGGGGGAAAAAAUACCCGCGGACAUACAGGGUAUUCUUUACGUUUGUUUUGCCCUUUUGGGGUUAAUUUCAGCCUCUCAAGUGAACCUUGUUUUAUGCAAUUACAUCCACCAGUCAGCCAGCUCACAGACGCGUCUGCUGCGCCCAAUACUUUAAUUGGAGAGCAAUCGUAACGUUAACGUUAGGCGUUUUAAAGUUCGCCAGAAGCCUAAGUUUUGGGACAAACCCGGUCGGACCAGCAAGUGGUGGGACAACUUCGUUAGAGGGGCUGUGCCUGCAGAUGACACUGUCACAUGGACCCGACAAAAUGGCGUAGCUUCCGCAAGCAAUGCAUGACGCAUCACGCUGUUACGAUUCAUCGGCCAAUCAGGUAGCUUUGUUCCUGAAUUUUUUUUAAGCGGCACCAGAUAGGAUUGAGUUUGAACUAACUUGAGUUGAGAACUAACACGUGUGGACAGAUACAUUUAUUUAGACGAGAGGACAAAAAUAUCCUGAUAAAUAGGAUUGGGUAUCGUUUGAUUUUGAACGAUUCCGAUUCCAAUUUCGAUUCCUCAUUUCGAUUCCGAUUCCUAUCGAUUCUCUAAUUUGAUUCUUUUAAAAGGCAGGAUAUCAAAAAGAAAAAAGAAAAAAAAGCAUGGUUUGAAUGAGGGUGCUAACCGGGGCUCUUCUUUUUGGAUGAAAUUUCUGAACUUCUCCAUGAAUUUUUAAAUCCUAUGAACUUUUUAAGAACUUUACUAUGAAUUUCUCACAGAGCUAUUUUCAACCAGUAUAUAAAUAUCAUUUUUUGUUUUCAGGUCGUUUGUCUAUGAAAAAGUACAAGGGCUAACGUUAGGUGGAUAUUUAAGUUUACUCACCGUACACAGUUCAAUUUGUUUACCGCUUCAAAGUUAACAGAAGUAAUUUAUUGUUUCACUUAUCUGAUCCUGACUGGUUAGCGGAAGACAGGUGUUGUGCUGUAGAAUGCACCCCUGCCAUAGAAUGCCUCCCCUCCACUGAUUAGCUUCUUAGUGGAAGAAAUAUGAUCUCAUAUUUAAUAAAACACGGGUAUUAGAUCAUGAAAACGUGUCAAAUGGAGCAGUAAACUUUCGUUUUGUUUGUAUGUGUCUCAAAAAUGCACACAUAAAGGUGUACUUGGGUAUAUAAACUGUACAGUAAGCUGUUAAUGUAGAGAACAUUAUAUUUUCCGGACAGUAAAUAUUCCGAAUCAGAGGGCUAUUGUUUUCGGCAUAUCGGAAUAGCCUGAAUGAAAUCAUUAAAGGCACACGCUUUAGAUUCCGUCCAACGGUAAGAAAAACUUGGAUUGUUUCGCCUCGUUGUGUACUUUCAACCGCGCUCCCGUCAGGGGUGCAUUCUACGACACAACACCGGCGAAGCGCGUCAAAGACGAGCACUCGGGUAUUUCUCCUCCAUGAAUCCUGAGGUGUUUAAUCAUGUUGGUCGUUUACCCUCCUUUGCAUGAUAUAACUGUAUUGCUAAUGUUGCAUUGAGAUAAGAGUUCAUUCUUCCUGCUAAAGUUAGCCAAACUUUUGACCAACGAAGAAGAAGCUGCCGAACACCAACGAGGACGGAGCGUAUGAGACGAAGAGAGGAGAGAGACAGAGAGAGAUUGUAACCCACAGCGGCUGCAUUGCUGUGGGUUGCAAUGUACUUUCUCUCUCUGUCUCUCUCCUCUCUCUGUGUGGCUUCGUCUCAUACGCUCCGUCCUCAUUGGUGUUAAGCGGCUUCUUCUUCGUUGAUUUUCGGCGGCUAUUUCUUCCGGUCGGCGGACUCUGGCAUCGAAACUUGGAAUCGAAAUUUUAAUAUUUGAACGAUACCGGAAGAAUCGAAGUUUUAGUCCCGAUUCCCAUCGAUUCUCGAUUCUCGAUUCCCAACCCUGCUGAUAAAUAAAUAUCUAUAUACGUGUAGUCCAGGCCUGAGUCGGGGCCAGUACCAGAUAAGCACAUUAAACUAUAAUCUAUAAACGUAAGGUAACAACAGAGACCUAAUGGUGCUGUGACAGCAACACGACUGAGUUUGAGACAGUGAAAAUACAUAUGGUAUGUUGUAUCUGAACAGGUUAGCUUACGAGCUUAAGUUACUUAGCACAGAUGAAAGUUAAAACAAAGACGUUUAUCAAACUGUUAAAGCAUCGUCAUAUGAGAAAUCCGACGCUAUGACUCUCCACAAGUUGUCCUUCAGGUCACAUUGAACGGACCUGAAUAGUUUGCUGACCAUGAUAUAACCGUAAUUGUCAUACAGCAUGACUUAAACUCCGUGGAUAAUCUCUCUGUGGGAUAUUUAUCUAGAAAAAGAUGAAAAACACCAGCUGAAGGCUAUACCAGAGCUUCUUGGGCUUCACUAACAUCCCAGCAGAUCUACAGGCUCAUCACCUCCGUUCAAUGUAAAGAAACCUCUUUUGCUGUGUCAAAUUCAGAGCACUAGUAAGUCUAUCUAAAUCAUGCGGAUUCAUCCAGUUUAAGAAGAAAAUGGCGACCAAAGAAAACUCGAUCAACUGAUGCUGAGAAUCAAAAAAGAAAAAAACGAACUUGAAAUCCAGAUCAUGAUCCUGAUCUUGACUAAACCUCUCCAACAUCCGUGCUCUGGACACCAUGUUUGGGAGAUGUCAUCCCAUAUCGUGUGGAUAGCUGGAUAUUAUAUUGUUAGCAGUAAAUGGUGUUAAGAUAGUGUCAGGUGGGAGGGGGAGUGCUCUCAUUUAAGAUGAUAUCUCUCUGGGAAAAAAGGGGCAGCAGCCAAAUGCAGCAGGUUUGAUAAUUUUGUCAAAUUGCCAGCAGCACUUUGAGGCCUCUCUGCAGAACAUCUUAAAGAAGACCUGCUGUAAUAUAUGAAACCAUCUUCAUAAUGUAUCAGGACUGAAUGGCUGCAAUGCCACUUAAGGUAGUGGUGCUGUAAUUGGUGCUCAAAAAAUCUUAAUAGUAUCAUAUAUCCUGAGCUGGGCUUUUAAAAGGAUCUAUUGUGAGGUUUUGCCUUGAUCUCUUACGCUCACACACACGCACGCACGCACACAUAAACACACACACACACACACACACUCACACAGGAUAAUGCAUUCAAGCCAUCAUUUCAUCGUAGAAAUCCCCGGCGUAUCGGGACACCACAUGCUGUAAUGAUCGUCUGUAAAUGGCUCGGUUGGACCGCUAACUUGUGUAAAUAGUGCAGGCUGAGACUAAUGUACUGUCUUGUAAUAGGGGGAAAUUGCGCACCUAUUACAGCUAGACCCUCACAGAGAGGAGGAGGAGGAGGAGGAGAGAGGAAAAGGAGGUGGAAGAAGAGGAGGAGAAGAGAAAUAAGAAAAAAGGGGAAUUAAUGAGGAAGAUGAAAGAAAAUCAGUGGAGGGAGAAAAGAAAAGUUUGAGUGUGUGUGAGGAGACUUUUGAAGCUCAACAGGAGGGCGUUAUUUGUGUUGUGGUAAAAGCUGAAUGAUGAAUGUAAUAUUUUUGUAUUUCUCUGGAUUUGCGCCCAAUAUCAACUUUGGGACAUGGUUGAUAGGAACAGUUUUUAAUUGUUUACAAAUCAUUCAGAGCCUCUUUUGAAUCAAAAAUAAUAAUAAUAAUGCAUCAGAUUUCAUAUAGCGCUUUAUCAGAGACCCUCAAAGCGCUUUACAUUGGAUACAUCAUUCAUUCGCUCACACAGUCACACUUUGGUGGUGGUGGAAACGUGGCUGCCAUUCUGCGCCUACGGCCUCUCCGACCACCACCAUACAACACUCACAAUCAUACACCAGUGGAGGACACACACUGGGAGCAAGGUGGGUUAAGUGUCUUGCUCAAGGACACAACGGACAGACUUGGAUUAGGGGGGAAUCGAACCGCCAACCUUCCGGUCAUUGGACGACAGCUCUACCUCCUGAGCUACUGCCGCCCCACGAAAUAGUGGAGAGACAACAUGUAAACUGUUGAUACCGGACAUGUCAGGACUGCAGUCAGGCUGGUUUAGCAGCGAGACUCUUCUACAACAGAGUUUGUCAUUUUCUUGCUGAAAUAUGAAGGUCCUCUUUGUCUGGAUGGCAGCAGAUGUUGCUCCUAAACCGGUAGUGGAGCCUUCACAGAUGUAGAAGAUACCCAUGACAUGGACUCUGAUGAUCCCCAGACCAUCAGGGAUGCUGGCUUUGAACUGGGAGCUGAUAACAAGCUGGGUGGUCCCUCUCUUCCUGAGAGAGAAGGAGGAUGGGACAUGUGUGAUUUCCAAAAGCAAUGUCAUAUUUUGAUUCAUCAGACCAUAGGACAGUUUUUCACCUCAGUCCAUCUUAAAUGAGCCCAGGUCCAGAGAAGCCUCUGGUGUUUCUGGAUUUUGUUUCCACCUGGUUUCCUCUUUGCAGUUUUCAUCCUGUAUUUGUUUUGAUCGUCUCCCCUUUAACAUUGAGAUUUCUCCAGAUCCUCUGAAUCUAAAUUCACUCAUUCUCUUACAGAGUGGUGAACCUCUUCUCAUCUUUCCUUCUGAAAGACUCAGCCUCUCUGAAUGUCCUUUUUACACCCAGUCAUGGUACUAACCUGUUUUUUUUUUUUUUUAGCAUUACAACUUUGUAUGAACCUGUUGCUGAAUCACAUUUAAAGAAAUAUCAACACCAGUCCCUAAAGGUCCUUACACACCGGGAACGAAGCAAAUAUACAACAUGAAAUUAUGAAAUAUUCUGAGGUGAAUUUUGACACGCUUGACUAUAAAUCAAGCACGAUGCGAUUUUGUGAGAAGACUGAGCCAACAGCAGACGGAGUGUUUUUCAGUUCUGAUUAGACUCUAGUGUUGAGAAGUCUGUCUGUCAUGAUAGCAUGAACUGAGUCGGGGCCAGUACCAGAUAAGAACAUUAAACUAUAAUCCAUAAACGUGAAGUAACAACCGACUGAGUUUGAGACAGUGAAAAUACAUAUGGUAUGUUGUAUCUGAACAGGUUAGCUUACGAGCUAAAGUUACUUAGCACAGAUGAAAGUUAAAACAAAGUCGUUUAUCAAACUGUUAAAGCACACAAACCAUCGUCAUAUGAGAAAUCCAACGCCAUGACUCUCCACAAGUUGUCCUUCAGGUCGUUAUCUUUGUAAUGUUUGUGUCUUUUAUCAAAAAUCACUCUGUUCUCCGACACGUAAACAAUCAGCUGGUCGGUCAUGUUGAAUAUACCGGUGAAUCUGACAUUGCAACAUCACGAAAUCUGAUUGGUCAGAAGUGGACACACAGUAUGUGAAACUGAAGAAAAUUUGACUGUGAUACGAAAAAAUAAAUGCCGCAAUAUCACAGGACGGGAAAAUGUUGCUGACGUGAACGCUUGUAUUAACAGGAUACAGGUUAGAAAAAAAAAUAUUGACAUACGAAAUAAUCGCACGUAAAAAACGCUCCCGGUGUGAAAGGACCUGAAGUAUUAAAAAAUGUCUUUUUUGGGACACUAACUUGUGGUACUCCAGAUGUUUAAGCUGCUUGUUUGUUGCAGUUUGAGCUUAGGUUAGCAUUUGCUCAUUUUCAUUGUUUGCAGUCAUGCAUCUAAAGUCAAAAUCAAGAAACCUUAAGGUUGUAGAUGUGGGUGCUUUUCAAUGCCCUCUCGCUAAUAAUAUGUAAAGAAACCAAAGAAACGUCUGCUAAUUGAAGGUGUUGUGAUAAAAUAUGAAUGAAAGCUCUGAUAACAGGCUUACAGCCGUUAAUGAAACAGAUGAAAACAGAGUGUCAUUCAUGGUGUUUGAGUUCAUGUGAAUCACACUGAAGUGAAGUAUGAGGCUUUUUAAAUCUGCCUUUUAAAUCGGGGUUUGUUUGCAGACAGAAACCCCUCUCUUAUAGGUGUUUUGUCACGUUGUUGUUGUUUAAGGGAAUUAAUUGAAACUCUGCAGAGCCGGCUCUAAUACACGCUCAUUUCCUUUAGCUACUGUUAAGCGUAAAUUGGCAAACCUCUGCAUAAUGUGUUUGUGUGAAUAGACAGUUUAGAUCGUUGUUUGUUGGAAAUAUUUGUUUGCUCAGUUAUUGUGUUCAUGCAGACGAAUAUGAAGCCUGUCUCUUUAUGCUGCUUCAUUUCUUCUUAGUUGUUUGCUAUUAUGAUAACAAGGAUCCAUUUGAUGUCAGCAGGCCUUUUAUCUUCAAAUGAGCCAUUUAAAUGUCAUUACUCUGUGUGUAUUUUUGUGUGUGUAUGCGCGUGAUCAUUCCUCUUACACGGCCCAUUCAUGUCUCGUCAUUUCUUCUACAAGGAGAAAUUACCAGCAUUCACUCGGAUUCUGCAGCAGCUACUAUUUUCACUUUUUAUUGUUCAGUGGCAUAAAUUUGAGCUUUUGUGCGUCUCUGUCCUCACUUGUUUACUGUUCAAAUAUCAGGCCAAAAUGACGACACAAAGAUUAUUAGAGUCAUUAACAUGGUAAACAUUUGUUUUGUCCUUUUUUUUCAAUUAAAAAUUAUCCAUUUAGCAUUGACCAACAUUAAUGAUGUUUGUGAUAAAAAACCUUUUUAUACCUCUUGGAUCGACACAUUGACAGUAAUCAGAAAUAUAAUUCCCUUCAGGGAGGAGGUGUUCACCAAAGCCUGAAGCUGACUUGAGUGAAGGUCUUUACACACCGGGGCCAACGCGAAUAUAAAAUGCGAAAUUAGGAAAUAUUAAGAGGUGAAUUUUGCAUCCCGGGGAAGACUUUUCCCGGGGAAAGUCCCGCCUCCUUCACCUCAGAUUGGCUAGAAAAGCUGGAAACAUCAUCACACGUUCAAGCCAAAUGGUCAACACUUACAGCCAAUCAGAGGUGAUACGAUAAGCACAUGAAACUAUGGUAACAACCGUUAGCUGACAUUGGUACAGAUGAAAGUUAAAACAAAGACGUUUAGCAAACUGUUAAAGCGCACAAACCAUCGACAUAUGAGAAAUCCGACGCUAUGUUGUCCUUCAGGUCGUUAUCUUUGUAAUGUUUGUGUCUUUUAUCAAAAAUCACUCUGUUCUCCGACACGUAAACAAUCAGCUGGUCGGCCAUGUUGGAUAUACCAGUGAAUCUGACGUCGCAACAACACGCAAUCUGAUUGUGAACGCUUGUAUUGACAGGAUACGGGUUUGAAAAAAGAUAUUGACGUCCGAAAGACUUCGAUGUACAAAAACUAAAAGUUAAGUUACUCUUUAAUAACUAUUGCAGCAGUCACACUCACACUCUUUAAGUCACGUUUUCCUGAGUCAUUGGACCAUUUUUUUCGACAUCUUUAAAAGUGCAUGAACUUGAUUUGUUGAUCUACAUCUCAUGCCACCUCUGUCUAUUUCCUGGAGUGGCAGAUAAGCCAUAGGGCAGCUCUCCCAGUGCUCUAUGGGUAAUUUAGGACAUCCCAUCUGGCAGGUUGAGUUGACAGGGCCUCUGUCUCUGCAGCAGUUCUCUGUAAUUUGCUUGUUUUCUUCUCUGCCAUAGAGCUGACAGACUGCAGGAGUAUUCCUCUCUCUCUCUCUCUAACUCUUUCUCUUGCUCGCUCGCCCUUUUUCUAAGUGUGCUCUCUCUCCUUUUGUUGUCAUUGUGUUAUUCAGCUCAGCUCUGUGGCCUCUGAGUCAAGAAGAAAAACACAGGCUGCAGGCAGCAUAGAAAUCAACCCUACUCUGUCAAAGUGAAGAAAUCUAACACAGCGAUGAAAACACAGUCCUCCAGCAAACACCCGGGGCCUGUUCUACCAAGCAGGAUUACUGCUUAGCGAGGUAACUUGAAGGGUAGGUUAGGGGUUUCCUGCUCUUCUUAGCGAAGUGAGUCUCCAUGGCAACGUACGCUGAACGGCUAACCUGCUCCGGGGCAGGUUAAGUUCCAGAUUGAACUCACAGAGUAUAAAAACCCCACCCACUGACCAAUGAGCUCUCUCGAAAAAUGGCUUGUCCGUUCUUGGAGGAUCCUACAGAUUUCGGUGCUCGUAUUGUCCGAGGAGCACUCCGGCGCGUGAGAGUUUUCAGGGACUGCACGGACGCACUUCCUUUUCCGGAUGACCACCUUUAUGAAAGAGAAAAUUCUGGAUACUGUGAUCCAGAACACACAAAAAUAAGGGUGUCGUUGGAAUUUUCAAUGCUGAAAGAUAACCAAUGGGCGGCACAGUGGUGUAGUGGUUAGCACUGUCGCCUCACAGCAAGAAGGUCCUGGGUUUGAAUCCGGGUCAGGGCAUUUCUUGUUUUAGGAACAUUAUGAACAGUGAACAUACCAGUUUAAACACAAAUAAAAGUUCAUUAAAGACACGUAACAGUAAAAGUUUUGGUGUGAAUCACAAUAUAAGGGGGGACAUGAGCUGCUUGGUGGAGGUCUGCGCUCUCCGAGUGCUUUUCUAGUAUUAACAAUGUUUCUGUCAAACACAAAGAUAUACAAUCUAAACCUAAAACUGACAAUGACCAGGGCAAAAUAGGUUAAAAUCCUUAAAAUUAGCCACACCAUUCAUGCAUUUUGGUGUUAUUGUACGAGUUGCUUUUACACCUAAUUCACUCUUUUAAUGCUGAUGCAUCUCCAGUUUUCUAGAAAUCUUGCAGCAGCACUUAAAUGAUAGGUUAUGCCAUUUUAUGUAAUAUAUGUACGACAAACUCACACCCAAGACAUAAACAGAGUUUAGGAAAAGCUUUUAUCCUUUUAUAAAGUGGUAAAUUCCCUCGUUUCAUGUUGUGGUUUUAAAUCUUCUUGCAGCGUUUUGUGAACAGAACGAUCCGACUGUGAUGAAUUUACGAGAAAAAGGAGUGUUGGACAUAAGCUUUAAGUGCGUGCGCACUGUACAGUGUGUGUGUGUGCAUGUGUGUCAAAAGAACUUUGACAAACAGCUCCCCUGUUUACCAUGGCGACGCCGCGGCCUGUGUUCUCCUGUCUCUACAGCAACCAAGGUCCUGGGCUCUCUGAUUGGCUGAGCUGUUGAACUCACAGUGAGAGACAAAAGAGAAGGACCCGGCUCUGCUAAUUUCUUAUCACCGAAUCCCAUUAGGCUCAGGGCUUUUUUUCAUUAACACACACAAAAGUAAAGUGGAAAUCACCGUAUUCAGCCGGCUCAGCCCCCACUGAGAGCCUGGCCAGACCCCCCACAAACAUCACCCUGCUGGGAUUAAUACCAGAGGAAGAAAGUGACAAAAUACAAGCCUCAUUACCACAAAAAUACUUAUACCUUUCUGACAAAAUACAUGGAACAAAUGAGACUUUAAUGGGUAGAAGUGAUAAACACCAUUUAAAUCAGUGAUACAUGUAGGUUUUUAAGAGUCAUGUUAUCAAAACAUAUCCAAAUACUGAGUUCACCAAUCGUAAUAUAUUAUAUGCUGUCAUAUGUACAUCCAAUUAUGAUCACCUUUGGCUUUGAGGAAAGAACAAAUAAAAGGUACCGUGAUUAAAUGUAGAUACAAAAUAAAACCAAAAGCCUCGUUUUGUUUGCCAAAUCAAGGCUUCCAAUUUAUACAGCAAUUACCUUGAAUAACAGACAUUCCUUGCUAACCUAGCUAGCAUCAGAGAAUAACUUGUUGCUGGCAAAGCCUUCCCUUUUCUCCAACCUCAUCCUUUCAGGAUUUCUAGCUCCAAAUUUAAAGAUGGUGACAGCCAAAGAAACAAAUAUAAGGAAUACAUGUUUUUUUCGCUUGUAUUUCUGAGUGUGGAAGGUGGAAUGUACAGGGUAAGUUUCCACUGAAAAAAGGGCUUCUGCUGUCCCAGGUGUCUCUUUAACAUCUCUCUGCAAACCCUUAUCUUCCUUCCCUCGAUCUCUUCUCUACCUAACAUGUCUUUCCAAAGCAGAGCAGGGGGAGGUAAAGCAUACAGCCAAGGAGGUUAUGUUUUCGGUAGCGUUGGUUUGUUUGUUUGUCUGUUAGCAACUUUUCGGGGAAAGUUACAGACAGAUUGACCUGAAAUUUCCCCCAAAAGUUCGUCUCAGCCCCAGGAGGAUCCCAUUACAUUUUGGUGGUGAUCCGAACAAAAUUCUGGAUACUGUGAUCCAGAACACACAAAAAUAAGGGUGUCGUUGGAAUUUUCAAUGCUGAAAGAUAACCAAUGGGCGGCACAGUGGUGUAGAUAGGCGGCACAGUGGUGUAGUGGUUAGCACUGUCGCCUCACAGCAAGAAGGUCCUGGGUUUGAAUCCGGGUCAGGGCAUUUCUUGUUUUAGGAACAUUUUGAACAAAUAAAAGUUAAUAAAAGACACGUAACAGUAAAAGUUUUGCUGUGAAUCACAAUAUAAGGGGGGACAUGAGCUGCUUGGCGGAGGUCUGCGCUCUCCGAGUGCUUUUCUGGUUAAGGAUACCCAUUAGCUGAAGCCAUAGCAAUCAACUAGUCUUCCUGGUUUCUUCAUAACACGAGCAAGUGCAAACCGUGUACAAAAUACAAUAUCACGAUAAAAAUUAUACAAUCAAUAUUCAAAAAGGUUAAAAACCAGAAACUCAAUCUGGCAAACAAAAUACAGUAAAAAACAUCCACAGAGAGAGAGACAGACAAAAAAAAAACCACAUACAUACAUAAACAAAGCAUAAACAAAAAACACAUCACAGAUUCAAAUAUUGUUUGAUGAAUUAUCAAGACCCAACCUAAGAUGGGAUUUGGCCCAUCUCAUCGAACAUGAGUCUAACACAGUAUGUGAAAAUUCAACCGUGAUACGAAAAAAUAAAUGCCGCAAUAUCGCAGGACGGAAAAACGUCACUGAUGUGAAUGCUUGUAUUGACAGGAUAGGGGUCCUGUGUGUAAGGACCUUAACCCAAAAGGUGUGAUUUUAGACAAACAGACUUCACGUCCUCGCUCUGCCUUUCCUGUCUUCUCUAGAACAUCUCUCUAAAGACACUUGACUGUUUCCUCUCUUUGCAUCAAGUGCGGGACGUGGGGGUAGCAGAGUGUACAACCUAACAUCACGGGGGUGAGGUGUAGCUUAUGCCGGUAAAACACUUUCUAUUGAACUCCACAUACAGAGAAUUUCACAGUAAUACAGAGUAAACUGAUGAAUACCUUCAGAGUCUUUUUGACACUUCGACCUGUUCAGUCUUUAUGUCAGCUCUACGCUCUCCAUCUUUCACCUGUCACCAUUCCUCUACUGCUCCUGACAGGAGGUGGUGGUUACACAUAUAUGCUCCUGUGUGUGUGUGUGUGUGUGUGUGUGUGUGUGUGUGAUAACGGCCUGUAUGAAGCCGGAUUGACAGACAAAGGCCUAAUCGCUCCUCGGCUCCGGCAGCCAAACAGCUCAGAGGAAGUAUUGACCCAAAAGCACCAUAAUCCCCUUCACCUAACGCGGGCAAUUUCAUGUAAUACCUGUAAUAACACGCGUUUAGCUCCAAGUAGUCGUCAAAAGAGCGCCGAGCAUCUGAUUUUAAGAGGUGAGCGCUUUGAAUAAAAGAGACCUGAAGAGUGUAUCAAUCUGUAAUAACAACAUCACGGCCCUGGACUGGCUUUUCUUUUCAAAAUCUCCUCGUCUCUCCCUCUUUGUGUCUAAAUGUGCAGCUCCGGUGACAUCCAGACUUGUUUUAAAGAAACAUAUGGAGGCUCAGAUGGUAAAGAAAAGCCAUGUCAAGCACAGGUUCUCAUUUUCCUUUAGUUCACAUGUGGAUAUCUGACAUUUGAAAUGCCUGAAGGUUGAGGUUAGAUACUGUUUGUGCCUCACUUGUCAGUUUUAUGCUCUCUGCUGUCAGUAGGGGUUUUGUACCAGUGUUGCGAAAAUCGUGGAAACAGCAGAGGCACGGAGGCUGGGAUUUCCUCAGAAGUUGACAGAAAGAAAGGAUCGUUAACACUCGAGAGUUUUUUAACCAAAGAUGAAGUAAAAUUUUGGGUAACGUGCACAAUUUACGCCGUCUUAUACUACCCUCAGACCAGGACUCUUCUACUACAGAGUCAUGCUGUUGUAAUCCCUGUUGUCAGAAUGUGGUUUGUCAUAGUCUCGCAGAAAAAGUCCCUGAAAAAGUCAUUGUCUGGAUCUCAACAGAUGUUGCUCCUAAAUCUGUAGAUAUGCAGCAUUUUUGUCCCAUUGCCAAAAUUUUCAAAAUAAGUUGCUGGAACUGAUUUUAGAAUGAGAAUAUAUGUUUCUGGGAACGCCCUAAAUUAACAGUUUUCUGGGGAAGUAUCCACAGAUCACUACGCUCAGUGUUUAAUACUCAAAUACCCCCUGAUUUCGCUACCUUGUUUCUAGGAAGGGUUGAAUGCCUGAGCCAGUUGAGAGAUACAAAACUAAUAUCUGAUGAUCCCGUGCCAGUCCUCCGCCCAAGCUGGGAGACUGGCACGGGAUAGUCUUGGAGAUCUUUAGAAUGGAAAAGCUCACAUACCAGAUAAGAAAACAGGAGGAUAAAUUUUAUCAAAUUUGGAACAAAUGGAUAACGCAUAUCGCCCCUCUAAGUGCAGAUUUCAUAUGAUCCCGCUGGCUCCCCUGCUCUAAUGUAGAGUGCUUUUACAGAAAAUCUGAGUUUCUCUUUUUUUUUUUUUUUUUUUUUUUCUUGUUACCCUCACUCAGCACAUUUGUAAAUAUUUUCGUUUGGUGGUUUCUUAUUUAAAUUUUUUUUUUAAAUGUAUUUAUUUAUUUUUAGUUUAUUUAUUUAUUUUUGGUGCUGUUUUUUUUUUUUAAUUUAUGUAUUUUUCAUUUAUUUAUUUAUUUUAGGUUCUGUUUUAUUUAUUUAUUUUUCAUUUAUUUAUUUAUUUAUUUUUGGUGCUGUUUUUUAUUUUUUUUUUAUUUUUUUAUUUUUUCAUUUAUUUUUUUUAUUUUAGGUUCUUGGUUGCACAGUGGAAGUCAGGAUGUUGAUCUUCCUCCCAAGAAUAUGCCCUCGACGGGGGAAAGGUUAAGGACACUGACUAUAAUGGACAUGGGGAAGGACGCAAUCUACCCAA